AAAAAAAAAAAAAAAAAAUCAGAAAACAGAACACCAACCAAAGUACCAAACACUUGCGAAAUUGAUAAACAGAACAAGCCCCAAAACCAUAGAUCAGAUCGAGAAAAACCAAACAAGAAUCUGUACAGUACAUGAGAAAAACCAAACCGCGCACCCAAAAACACUGUAAUUAAACAAAAAAUAAAGAACCCCAGUUCCCAGCUUUUGUAGUUAACUAAAAAUUCGCAGAGGGAGAGAGAAAUAAGAACCUGCGCAGAAAAUUUGCAUGAGUUUCUUUUCUUAGACGCAAAGCAUAUGAAAAAAAGAACGACCCAGAAGGAAAUUUGCAAAACCCUCGCAGUUAGUCAAGGAGAGAAAAGUCGAGGCCAUGAAAGAACAUUGCAAAUUUCUCAUGCACUUCGAAUUAGAGACGAAGACUGACCCAUCCCGCGGGUAAAGAAGAAGAAGAAGCAGAAGAAGAAGAAGAAGAAGAAGUUGAAGUCAGAGGAUGGAGCCUUUUUUUCUUUCCAAACAAAGGAGUUGACUGGACUGGAGAAGCCAAUUAUUUGGUGCCACGUGGGAAUAGAUAUAGUAAAUUUACCUUUGUCUUUAGGGCAAAAAUUAAAUGGUGUGGGGGAAUGUUAAAUGCUGCUGCAGCUUCUAGACUUACAAUAACAUUAUUAUAUUACGUGGUGAAGUGUUUUUGGAGAUUCUUUUUUAAUUUUCUAACCCAACUGAAAAUUAUCAUUCUCUAAUAUAUUAUUAGUGCACUGUUUGAUUGACGAAGAAAAUGGUUGGAAAUAAAUUUGGAUAAUUUUUUAAAUGUUGAAAUUUUGUACAGUUCUCAAAUAAUUUUAAUUUGUUUAGAAUUCUAAAAAAAAUUAUAUUGAUAAAUUAAAAGAGUAAAAUAGAUUAAUAUUUGUAUAUAAUAUAUAUAAAAGAAAUGUUACGUGGGAUUGUAGGUGGGGGUGAGGUAAUGAAGAGGGACCCAGACCACAUUGUAAUAUUUGAAAAGAAAAUAGAAAGUGAAAGACAGAUAGAUAAGAGUAAGAGAGAGGAAAAGGAGUACAGGUAAGAGUCGCAUUCCCAUUACUAUUAACAAAAUGAUAAUGAUUUUCCUUUUUUGUUUUUGUUUCCAAACUUUAGUUGCUUAGCGACAAAUCUAGUUGUUCUUAAAAAGUCUAUGAAUUAGAAAAUUACAUAAUUCUUAAAAUCAUUCAAUAUGUAUAUAUAUAUAUUAACAAUUAAAUAACUAACUUGUGGAAAUAGAAACCCUGGACCUAAGUGAGUGGAUCAGAUUGACAAUUAAAUCCAUCCAAAUUUGUUGAUUCCUUCAAACCAAUCCAAUUAUUAUUUUUUAUUUCCAAAAUUUAUAAAAAUAAAAUAAUAUAAAAUCAUUUUCAAACACUUAAAUUUAUUGGAUGGUAUCUUCUCGAUUAUUUAUACAAAUCGCUUACUUUGGAGGUCUAAAUGAAAAUUGAUCCAGAUUUUAAAAUGUGAAAAGUGACAUUCUGUUUGCGUCAGCACCUUGUGAAUUUACCAAUUCGUCAGUGAAAACCACUCACACGCUUGCAAGUGAGAACACCACUCGAUGCAUAAUGAACAAUGAUCUAUGCUCUAUGCUCUAUGUCAUGUAUACUAAACAUUUGAUUCUCGAUCCUUGAUACUUUAAAGAGAAAAAAAAAGAGUAGAAAUGCAAAAAAAAAAAAAAAAAAUCAAAUAAUUGUGUGCCAUAAGCAAAAUACCACUUUUUAUUGGUUUAAAAAAAUAUCCAUUUUUUUUUACUUGAGUCUCUUGUUUUAGGUCGUGUUUGCAAAUUUUUCGUAUAUUUUGUGUGUAUAUAUCUCCACAUUUUUAUUUCUUCAAAUUCAACGUAGAACUUAGCACAAUUUUGCAAUUUCCUAAAAUUAAAGUAUUGUGAAGGACACAACUUAUUAACCACAUGUAUGAGACAAAUUUCCAACCUAUACUUUUGUUUGGUUUAUUGACUUAUUAAACGUAUUAUGAUAAAACAUAUUUUUUAUUAAAAAAAAGAUAUUAUAAUUAAAUUUGUGUUGAAAUUUUUUAGUUUUGAAAGUGAUAUUUGAUAGUUGAUUGAUGUGUUGAUCAAACUUAAAUAUGUACAUAACUUGAUAUUACUAAAGGUAGUGAGUUAAAAAAAUGGUCACUUUUUUUCUGAAUUGAGUGGAAUUUUGACAAAGAUGGUAUGGUAAAAUCAACCAUACUUAAAUUCGAGAUCCAUUUGUAGAAAUAUAAGGCUUAUAUUGAAAAUUGAUAUAAUGUAAGGGUAGAACUGAAAGUUUCUAAAGAAAAAAAAGGGUAGAGUUGAUAAUUUCUCAUAAUUUUAUGGUUUGGUAAUUUGAUUAAUGACCAAAAUUGAGUCAUUUGGUUAAUCAUGUAGUAGGGGAAGAAUUCUAGUUAAAUAAUUUUCUAAAAGAUUAGUAAUUUUGUAAACUUUAAGAUCACUUCCAAAACUAAACAUAAUAUUCAGACCUCUUUUAAAAUAAAGGCUCAAAACAAAACGUUUUUAGAUUUUCCAUUCUUCAGAGAGAAAAUCAGUUGCCAUUUUCAAAACUACCCAAAACAUAUAUUUAAUACCUCAAACAACUAAAAGCCAAAAAUGAAAAAUGAUUUAGAAUACUAUAAAAUUGCAUCCACACAUGCAUUUUCAUUAAUAGUACGCAUCUUUCCAAAUUAGAUUAUAAAUUUUUUAAAACUAAUCACCUAAGUACCAACCAAAAUUUAAUCUAAAAAAUAGAAACCCCAAAGCCAAACACAUAAUCAUAAUAAAUCCUUGUAAAUAUCAAAGAGUUUAUGAUCCUCAAGUCGGUUGAGGAUCCCAAUUACAAACUAACCCAUAAAGUCAUAACUCUAAAUUAUGCAAGAGUAUAAUUCUGUUUACACAUUUAACUAACUACUCAAAUCUUUUGAUUAAUGAAAGAUCAUUCAACAUCUUCUCAAUUGCUUCAUCGUCAUGCACCCUUCCCUUGGUCUGAAACCAGCAAAAACAAAAUCAUUCAUAAGCGAUUAACUUCUGUUUUCAAAAGAUGGAAAAGAAAAAAGAUCAUAUCAAAAUUUUAAAGUUUUAAGUAACAUCUUAAAAUUUGAUGCAUGUUCAAUGUUGAGAGACAAAUACAAUAAUAGUAAACUUCCAAAAAAUUGUAUCUGUGAUUUAGCAAGAUAACUAUAAAUAUACUAUCGGUUCAACCAAACAGAAAAAUGAUUGAUACUUAGCUAAUCCAAUAGCACAAAAGUGGCAAAAGAUACCUUCAAUGAUGGUACCAUGGCAAUGGCUUCUUCCACAGUUUCAGGGCAAAGGUUGCCAAGAACACAAAGCUGCAAAUUUCGAAACUAAUGAGAUAAGCGUUUCCUCAAAAAAGAAAGAGACGAUAAUAUUACACAAAAUGAUUAAACCAAGGUGUCUAGAGUACAUACCUCAAACUCCGCCAACUGAUACCUGCUUAGAACUCUGUUUGUUUGUUUGUUAAGAUUCAAUAUUUCAAAAGAUAACAAUUACACAUUAUUUAAUCCAUUUCUAAACAAUGAUACCCCAAACUUUCAAUUCAAAAUUACGUUGGUAAAUGGUAUGGUUAUGUGAACUUCUAAUUUAUUAAGUAUUUCCCAAAAAAAUAAUUAACCAAAGAGAGUUUUUAGCUUGGUAGUUGACCAUUCCCGCCAUCAAAUAAAAUGAAACGUGCCUUCUCACCCAGUAAAAACAUCAACAUAUAUAGUUUUAAGGAUACUCUCGAACUUGUCUAACAGCAUCGGGAUUCUUAUAACGGCUGAAGCGUUUCACAUAUUGAAGUGACUUUUCAAACACUCUGCAAAAUAAGACCAUAAUUAAGAAUUCUCUCGUCAUUUUAUUUUUAAAAAAUUAUAUAGUAGCUUCUCUAAAUUAACUCAUGAAUCAAUAAAGGAUAUACAUAAAACUCACUGGGAAACUUGAUUUGUUGGAUCCUCGGACAUCUGUUGAAGUUGCUCAUAUUUAUGUUCAAGGAUUAGAGAAACUUCACAAUUCAUUAAACAUUUGGCUUUUAAGAACUCUGCAAGUAACCAAAGAAAGUAAACGCCAGUUAUUACCUUUCAAAGCUUAGAAUAUACACCAAAAUGAUUUGGGUGCAAGAGCUUGACUUUUGCACAAUUACUUAUGUAAACCAAAUAUUUGGUCAUUCUUGAGUCCGCAUUUUCAUAGAUUCAUAAGAAUGGAAAAACUUACAAUAAUUGGUUAUCUUUUUGCCAGAAUAAUCAUAGAUAAGAAUUUAGAUACGGAAUAGAUCACACAUUUUCAUCUAAAUUUUUUUAAAAACCUAAUAACCAAUAUGAUAUUAAUCCAAAAUAUAAGAGAACUCAAAGCAUUCAGCCAUUUGACCCUUUAACAUCAUAUGAAGGAAGUAUUCCUUUGAAGUAAAUGAGCUAGCUUAAAAUAUUAUGAGAAACAACAUGAUAUCGUAAAACACAAUGGGAAGAUAUAGACAAAAUAAACUUCUUUUGUUGACGUGUCAUCAAGCCACCAAUCAAAUGACUAUGACUUACCGAACAAUAUCCAAGAAAGUUAUGAGAUACUACAUGGCUACAAUAUAUAAUCACAUAGCUAUCGAUCUUAAAGAACUAAGGAAGUUCAGCCUUUCUCCCCUCAGGCCUAAGAGAUUAUUACCGCACUACCCAUAAAACUGCUUGAAGAUAACAUUAACUCCACAUUUCCAAUCUAAACUAUAUCUAUAUGCAUUGUACAUAAGAACAGUCUCCCUAUCGGUAUUGGCCACUAGAAGGAUCAAAGAAUUGCAAUAAUGAUACAUAUAAUAUCAUGGGGUAUAACAUUAUAAAUUAAGUUUCUAACUUUUUGAGCAAAAUAAAAAAUUAAAUACAUCAGUUGCUUAUAAAAUUCUAAUUUUACAAAUAUAUGAAGGAAACCCAUCACCAUAAAUAUACAAGAAACUUAAAUUCUCAUUGAAUAUAGAUAGGAAGUUUUAAUUUAUAGAUAGAUUUCUACCAUCUCCAAUUUUAAGCUCAGCAGCAUUUUCUUCCUCCUCCCCGGACAUGCUUGAAGUUGGAGUUCUGUGUCAACCUAAAAUAUUUGGGGACAGAGUACAGCAAGAUUACAACUAAAUCUACAAAGUAAAAAAGUUAACUUCGCCCAACUAAACUAAUAUAUCAAAAUUACAAGACACCAAAUUAGAAGGCCUAAGUUAAAAACUGAUUCUAGAUAAAAGUUAAGAUCGAUGAGAAGAAACUCGAAAUAGAAUGACCCAAAAGGUUCUCUCAUUUGCUAAUAUUGGAUUUAGUUUAUAACCUUAACAAAUUGUCCUCGUGAUGUAACUCAUUAAAUACAUGAAGGCACUCUUAUGUUUCAUAAUUUUAAUCAUUGUUUUCCAUUAAUGAGCUAGUAACUUAGUAAGAUACUUCGCAAGCCUACACACGAAAACUCGAUCAACUUGUUCAUGGUUAAUCUUUAAUUUUAAAAGAUAAAUGAUGGAUGCGUUUCACACUUAAAUGAAGCCCAAAUCAAUUUUACAUUAACCAAAUAAUCAUGAACUAAAAAACCCUCUCAAAAGUCGGCAGCAAUAAACCCUAAACUAGAUGGCAUUUGAGCCCCAACUGAAUGACUUAGCACAAAAUUUUCACAAUAAGUUCAAGAGAACUGUGAAACAUAUGAUUACAAAAUUAGGAAAAUUUUUGCAAGAUAUACAAGAGUCAACGUUUAAAGAUUCGAAUUCGACCCCGUGAUUUAGAGUAGCAAACCUCUUGAGUUAAAGGAAUAUAUGCAUUUAAAGAAAUUAAUCGUUCUAUUCAUGAUCAGAUUGUAAAUAAAGAAAAGCAAGAGGAUAAAAAAAAAACUUCGACAGACCUCGAGAUGGAGUUCUGCAGGUCCUGGUAGCAGCGUGGCGGUGAUGAAGGAAAAAUAGAGAAAUCGAAUGCUGAGGCGUACUGGCGACCGAUAAUGGAGGCAGCGGAGAAGGAGGGAGCAAAGAGAAGACUCAAAGAUGGUUGUUAGGUGGUGAUGGUGUCCGGCGAGAGGCGGGUUUGGCUGCCGCGGAAGUGCCGGAGAAGAAAGGAAACGAAUGAACUGUUAUUGAACAAAGGGAAGAGAUACGGAAUAAUCAUAGAGAGGGCGCUUUUAAAGGAGAAAUUUGGAUAAAUAUCGAAACUUUUAUUUGAAACAUAGUGGUUUUAAAAAUAUUUAUAAAAUUGUGUUAGCUUUUUUCUUUUGGUAGAUUGCUUUCUCUUUUUUCUCUCAGUUAAAGACAUUGCUAUUGCUUCCUCUCUCGAUUCAACCUAAAACAUUCUCUCGAUUGAACCUAAACAUUGCUUUCUCUCCCGAUUGAACCUAAGACAUUGCUUUCUCUCAAUUGUAACAUUACUUUUCCUAUUUUAAUUUAAGGAUGUAUUUAGUUGAGAUUGUUUAAAUUUCUCUCUCAAUUUUAACAUUACUUUUCUUUUUAUAAUUUAAGGAUGUAUUUAGUUGAGAUUGUUUAAAUUUGUAAAAAAAAAAACUAUUAAAAAAGGUGACCGUUGCAAUUAUCAAAUAUUUGUCGACAGAAUAGACACUUCCUGGUGGCAAGUGUUAUUGAACAUGGCUUCCUCUACAUUUCACAUGUAUCCAUGAUGCUACUGGCUAAUGAGCUCAGACAAGAAAUGCUGUGCUCAUACUCCAAUAUUUUGUUAUACCUUCCAUCCAUAUUCCACAAAACAUAUAGUUCCAGUUUUAAUGUGUUUAUGUGCGUAUUACGCUAUUAAUGUUACACCAUCUAUCCUUUCUCAUAUUACUAAAAUGUUGAUUGUAUCCUUCUUCUAAGCUUUCAAUCUUCAAGAACUCCAUGAAUCGAAAUCAAGAUAUAUACCAAAAGCUGUCAUCAAUUUAAAAUUCAGUAUACUGGAAUGAAACAUGAUAAUUAUCCUAAUAUUAUUUUUUAUAAGCUCAUUUCAAAUCAAUUUAACAAAACUGAGAGGAACUAGACAGCAAUUAAAGCUGUAAAGAAAAGUAUUUCAAGCAUUGUCAAAACAAGUAUGAAGUAGAAAUUAGAAACAGAGGCUUCUAUAAAACAUCUUCCCGAAUUCAACAUCUUUGAAGCCACCAGCUCUUGGGUUUGACGAAAAAGCUCAAAAUUCUGCCAAUAGAAACCAUAGUUGAUUAAGAAAAUGAAGGAUUGAAGAUUGAUAGUAGAACAGGUUCACGAGUGUUUUUAUCGAACAGCACAAUCUAGCUUGUGUGCAGGUGCAACAAAAUUAAAACUGCACUUACAUAUUUUGUUGAAGGCAACGAUGUCACAGCUCUGAACAUGCUCAUUUAUGGGUUCAACUGUCAAAUAUUCCUCAAUGAGAUUGUCAACAGACACAAGGUCAUCAACAAUUGUGAGCAUUAUCUGCAAUUUCUUAAUACCAUAUCCAACAGGGACAAGUUUCGCUGCAAAACAAUGACAAGGAUGAGAACAUACCCUUGUAAAGUAGAGCCUGCUUAGUACUCUACUUUCUUUAGAUAGGAUGUAAACUGGCGUGCUGGAGAAAUAAGCAUAUAAAAUCAUGCAAGCUUGAAUCAGUUAACCAAUUCGAGAAAUGAAGAGAAACAGAGAUUCCCAUUCAAUUAUAGUGAGAUCACAAGAACAAAAAAGGGAGUGCAGAUUCCUUCUCAAGAGUAAUAUCAUGCCUAUAAAUUGAUAGCACGGAGAUAUAAAAACUUACAUGCUCCCCAAAGCAAGCCUUCCAUCUGAACACUCCUUACAGCCUCUUCAAGUUUCUUCAUGUCAGUUUCAUCAUCCCAAGGUUUGAUAUCCAUCAGAACUGAUGAUUUGCCACCUAAACAGACACCCAAGAGAACAAGCACAAGACAUCAUUAAAAUCACUGACAAUAUAAAACAAGUCCAAGAUCGAUUGUAAAUCAAACUCACUCUCUUUCUUCUUUGCAGAAGCCUUGACGGCAGCUGCGCGCUCCUCAGCAGCCUUCUUCUCCUCUUCGGUCUCUUCUCCAAAUAGAUCCAUGUCGUCAUCAUCAUCAUCAUCAUCGGCAGCCUGAUAAAAUUCAGUGUACACCAACUAUAAUUAAGAUGAAAAAAUUAAAGGAAAUCAAACAAUAUAAUAGAGCAUCCACUAAUAGACAAUGUCUCGUCUCACCACACAUAACAUAUAGAAAGAAAGAAACAUUAGGCAAUUUUUCACCUUUGCAUCAGCAGCCGGUGGGGUUGCAACUGCGUCCAACUUAACACCAGAACCCUCUCCAAAAACAGCGCUAAAAGCCAAUAUCAAGCCCAGUGGUUUCAGAACAAAUAGUGAACAAUGCCAUAGCAUGAAUUCAUAAUUAAAAAUUCGAUAAAACCAAGCCGAGAGAAUUUGGAAUUGCGAUGACUUACGAAACUCUCAAGAGUGCUUCAAUGUGAUUGGACCACCUAGACACGUUAACAUAUUCGCUGGAUACGGGUUUGGAGAGCGCUUCGUAAACGGUAACAUCAUCCUUAGAAGGCUGAUACCUGAGGAAGAUCAUUUGUCAAACAAACAAAAACCAGAUUCACACAAUAACAUUCAAAGCCCAAUACAUGUUCCACUAACCCGGAAAUGUAGCUACGACUAAGCAAGUAUUCAUCGAGUUUUUUCAAACCGGAUGCUGACUUGACAUCUGGGAAAGCGACCGCCAUUUCAAAGUGAUGCGACUUCUCUGUGCCAAAAUUCAAAUGUCUAGUUAUCAGUUCGUAAUCGAGAAUAACUCGUUAGACAACCCCAUGGGAAUUAGAUCGGAAACUUCUUGUUCAUGGAGCCCAAAAUAAAAGGGCUAGCACUAAAAUUCCAAUAAGUUGAAGAAAAUUGGGAUAAAUUUAGCUUUUGAAGCGAAAUACAACGCUUGAAGAUUCGAAAUGGACCCUCUGAUUCAGAGUGACAGACCACUGUAGUUAGAGGAGUAAAUGCAUUUAAAGAAAAUAACCAUCGGUCUAAUCAUUCAUCAUCAUAUUGUAAAUAAAGAAAAACAAGAAACAAAAAAGUGACAGACCUCGAGAUGGAGUUUUGGAGGUGCCGGAGCGUGCAGUAAGAGGGGAGGUUUGAUAUUUGUUAGGGUUUUGGGCUCUGCUUUGACAUAUAAAGAGGGAGAAGGGCAUGAUCCGGUGCGCCGCAUAUAGGCUAGUGUUACUUAGGUCCAAACCAAUUGAUUUCAAUAUUUGGUUAAUUAAUUCUAUUUUAUUUUAUUAUUAUAAAUAUUCUUAGAAUAUAUAGAUAUCCAUAGGUGCCUAUUUAGUCGACCUAGCCACAUGCUUAGUGACCAUAACUACAUGUCAAAUAAACAUAAUUCAUUAGUGUAAACAAUGUGUUAGCAAACAUGGUCUUUUUGUGGUAACGUAAUCAUCUCAUACUUGUCAAGUUGUCUAUAAAUAAAAGACUUUGGACUACACUAAUAUUGGAUGAUUUUCCAAAUAAAUAGCCGAUAGUCGAUUUCCUUGAGAAUUUUUAAGUAUUUAAUUUUCUUAAUUUUUUAUUAUUAUUUCUUUAUUUAUAUAUUAUAUAUUAUACAUUAUAUUAUUUUAUUUUAAUAUUAUAUUUCUUCGAUUUUCGUAUUUCGGUUGUACCCCAUUUUCACAACACAUUAUCAACAUGAGUUCCGAUCGUUUCCUCUGUUAAGGUAGGUCGACUCCUCGUGUUGUCCUAAUAGUAUAUCAAUUUUUUUCUACUUGUUAUAAUUAAUAAAAUAAAUAUUAUUUUGCAUGUUUGAUAUAUAUUAAAUUUCUCUUAUCCGAUACUAAUAGUACUAAUUAUUUAUCAUGAAAAACUAAUAAUAGAUUACUUUUUCCCUAUGAAAACUCAUUUCCAGUUCUGCGACUUGCAGAACUGAAAAGAAGAAGAUUGAGAGAGUUGAGAGAGAGACAAAAAGGAGAGAAAAUCCAUGUUGUCGCUCGUUGCCAUCCAUGUCCCACCGUUCGUCGUCAUCUGUCGUCGUUGCUCUUCCUUCUAUUAAGUGAUUUAGUUUAGUUUAGUUAUCAUUUUGUUUUAGUUAAUUAAUUUUAGGUUUUAAAUUUCAAAUUAGUUCUAGUAUUGAAUUCAAACUUGUUCUUGGGAUUUAAGAUUGAAGUUUAAUUUAGGAGUUAUAUUGAAUUUAGAGGGAAGGGGAGGGGGUUAUAUUAAAUUUGUUUGUUUUGUUUUUAUUAAUGGUGGAUGGUAGACGUUGCCCUAAAUAAUAUCUAUGUUUUUUAUGCGUAUAAAUUUUAGGAUUCGUUUUAUAAAUGAAUGUUAUUAUUGCGUACAUUUUAGUUAAGGUUUGAUUGAAAAUUGUUGGUUCGAUAGUUUAUAGUUGGUUUGUGAUUAAAUUAGAUUUUGUAGGAGUGGUUGAAUUAGAGUUAGUUUAUGGAUGAAUGUUGUGAAAUGUUGUCAAUGGAAAAAAAAAAUUCCACUCCCUCCUCAUUCUCGCUAUUUACUGUAUGCUAUAGGAUAUUUAAAUACUGUUUAUAAAACAAAAUGCGGGGAUAGCUCAGUUGGGAGAGCGUCAGACUGAAGAUCUGAAGGUCGCGUGUUCGAUCCACGCUCACCGCAAAUUAUUUAUUUUUUCCUGUAUAAUAAACUUUCUUUCUCUCUCGUACUUUUUUCCUUGUAUAUAAUAUAUAUCUCUCAUCCACUUUAAUCUAAUUUACAUUAACGAAAAUUAAUAUAUUUAUUUAAUUGUUAAAUAAUUAACUUUUCUAAAAAAUCCGAAUUAUGUUUAAUGUUUGUCAAUUAAUAUAUAUUAAAAAUUUACAGAGUUUACGUAAUUAAUUUUAUAAAUGAAAUACAAGAAAAAUGCUCAUAUACAUUCUCAUCAAAUACGAACACUUUAAUUUCCAGUCAUCUUAAUCCUGGAAUUAAGCCCCUAAAAGUUUAUAGGUGAAACUAGAAUUUAAACACUACUUCUAUGAAUGAAAUUGACUUUUAACAAUAAUUGCUAUUAAUCUUGAAAGUUUUGUAUGAUAUAAUUUUGAUGGCAUUUCAUCAGCCAAAAUAACUUCAGAAAAAACAAACAAAUAUUCUUAACACCAACAAAAAAGUCAAGAUGAAAUUAACCUAAACAUAGCUCACAUAAAUUAGAAUUUCAUCCCUGCUGAAAUACUUAUAAUAUAAUAUUUUAUUUAUUUAGAAAAAAAAAUGUGAAGUAAAGACAGAAUUAUAACUUCUAACAUAUUUAUGAAUAAAUCUUUCUAUCAAACCAGAUCCCAUCAAUGCUUCGUUGUUGAAUCUACAAAAUUUUGAUUCUCAUUAUGAACACCAUCACCUGUGACCAAUAUGGGAGGGAAAAAAUGUAUUCUAAGUAAUAAGUUAUAACUAAGACAACAAUUUGCCAUUAUAAAAUAAUAAUAAUAAUAAUAAAAAGCAACAAUUUACCAAAUUAGAGAGAAAAAAACAUCCACAAAGCCAACGUAUACGUAUUCCGAUGAUAGAAACAUCAGAAACUAAUGGAGCUUUGCUUGUCCGAAGGAGCAACCAAGUGCCAAAAUGAACGGUAUGUUGGAAUACUCGCUGCUUCAACCCCUAGGGCUGAAAGGUUGCGACCAUACUCCUGCAAUGAAGAUGUAUAGGUCCAUAAAUUUUUGGUGGCUUUUUCUUCGUAAUUAUAUUGAUUCAAUUAGAAAAUUUUGAAGAUGUAUAACAUAGGGGAAAAAAUAGUUUCAUUUUGGUUGUUAAAUUAUCAAUCAUCCCAAAAACUUAAGCUUAUGAGUUACAACAAAUUUAAUAUUUUAUCAAUACUUUCUAAUAUUCCCAUCCAACAACUGAAAAUCAAUAUUAAUAAAAGUGAGGACUCAAACACAUGACCUUCCUACACUUGGCAUGACAAUAUAUGAUACUUUGUUAAUACGUUAAUCAACCUAUAUUUAUAUUUAUUAAAUACUAUAGAAUGGCUCCAUGGUGGACAUUGAGUCAAUUUGAAAUGAUUUUCAAAGAGCACCAACUGAGAGUUGGUGGAGUGAGUUAUUCUAUAUUCAAUGUUUGAAGCACCGACUAUAAUCGUGGUACACCGACUAUGAUAGUGGUGUGUACAACUAUUUAUAACCAAUAAUUAUAUAAAGUAAAUACUAUUUCAAUACCCUCUUUACUAUAAUAUUUACUAUUUGAUAGAGCAUUACUAUCGUUUACUCAUCCUCUCUUUUCUUCUUUGCCUAUUUCCUAUCUAAACAAAAAUAGUUCACAUGUCACAAACUAUUGUAACCCAAGCUAUUACCUCAAUCACCGAUUAUUAUAAAUCACUAACUAUGUUAACCAACUCGGCGCUCCAAAGGCCCUUUAAGUACUUUUGAAAUGUUUAUACAUAUUUUUCACUUAAAAUUGCAUUAUUAAGCAGUUGGGAAAUCGUUUCAAAUAGCCAUUGAAAACUCACGAAUAAGUAAAGCAUACUUUAAAUGGUUCCAAUGUCUGCGUUGUAUUAAUCAUAGAAAUAGUUUCUGUAUAUGUGAUAUGUCUAGAACCUACUGAAGCAUCACCCUUUUAUCGCAGCAAGCAAUUACAAACAAAAUAGUGAUACUUUACCUGAAUAUCGAGAAAGAGUUGCAUGCAAAUCUUGUCAGUGUCGGAGAUGUUAUGGUCUGAAACAUCUGAGCUUGCUCCAGCCCGUCUUUGUACUCCCUGCCGAAUUUUCUGGAGUGACGAAUCUGUUUUCCUAGCCUGAACAUGGACAUUAGUGAACGGAAUAAUCUUUUAAGAUUAAUAACCAAGUUGAAACUAAAGUUUGGUAAAUCCGAACUAACCAAGCUAACAAGAUCAGCUGCUUGCUCAUAAUAACGAGAAGUAAUCUCAGUCACAGCAUCGGUCAACAGUGCAGUCCUUGUUUCCGUUGUCAAAAAAGUUGACGCCCUGUCUCCAUCCAAUAUGGCCUGGUGGAGUUUACAUUGUACAUCAAGUUUACAAAUAAAGAACAAUGAUGUCCCUUCAGUUUCCUCAAUACAUGAAGCUUAAAGCAUUUGGAACUAUAAACUUCUACCCUCACGACCCAAGUCCAAGUUAGACAAAAAGGUCAGUACAUACAUCUUAAAAUGAAGGAUUAUAAUGACAUACUUCAAAAAAAUAACUUAUUUUAUUUUUUGUUUUGUUUGAAAAAGCUCUUUUAAGCCUAUGCGUAUGAAUUGCGUAAGGUCCUGUACGUAAAGUUAUGAAAGAAAAGAAAAACGUAACAGUAAGCAUUUGAAAAGCUUAAAAAAAAUUGUGUAGGCCUCUCUUGCGAAAUAGAGGUUCCCAUACCCGGUGCCUGGUCAGCGGAGGCUCUGAAAGGGUGCCUAAGUGCACGGUGCCCCUGAAGGUGCAUGCUUAGGUAUUUGGGUGAGCCUCCUAAAGUAAUGUCCAUAAAGAACAAGAUUCAUCUAAGAUAUGCCAAAGAAUGUGGUAAUAGUUUGUUGCAUACCUUCAGAGGGCGUAGCAACCCUGAUACAUAGGGUGAAUGCCUUACAGGUAGUGGUUUAUUGGUCAUCCUGUAUGUUGCUGUAAUACCCUUCAGCUGUCUCAAGUCCUACAUUAAUUUCAGAAAAGUAAUGCAAGUCAGAAAUUCCAGAAGAAACUUUCGAUCCUGAGCUCGUGCACACUUAGCAUGCAUAAGAACCAAACAUUUACCUCAACAGACUUCUCAACCAGUGAAGCAACUAUGGCACCAAUAACUUUGGGCAUUAAAUUAUACAAUGACUUUCCACCGUGCAAAAUGCUCUGCUUUACUGAAUCAAGAACAUCUACAGUGCAUGACGAUAGAAGCUGAAGUACAGUUUCCAAGAAGUUACCAGUUACCACCGUGUAUAGAUAACCAAGGUCAUGGAUUAUCUGCACAUCCAACAUUAUGUUACUAUCGGGUGUGAGAUUAUUCCAAAUCCUCAAUCUUGUGACUACGUUUUAUAUUCCUUCUAUUUUUUUACUAGAAAAUAAAUUUAUCAUCGAAACAAUAAUUUUAGAAAACAAAAUAUUUUCAUAAAUACAUUGAAACUUCAUCUUAAUACUCAAUUUCUAAGAGUCUCUACUCAAAUAGCAUUUCAAAACUGUACUCCAUCUGUUACACAGAAUGACCAAGAUUUCAAUAGAAAACAAUACAAAAUUUACGAAAAUAAAAGCGAAUUUUGGAUAUGGGGAUUAAUGGAUUAUUUAAGAACCAAAUGAAUUAUUACCAAGCAUGUUUGAUCACAACAUAAACUCAUGUUUGGCACUUAUAUAUUUCAAAUUCACCCAUCCGUCAAUCUCAUGCCAAAUACUUCUGUAGCCAUGGUGCCAUUGCAAACAAACUCGGAAAAAAAAAAGAUAAUCAGAAGGAAAAUGAAGAAUCUGAAAGUUCAUGGUGCCAUUGCAAACAAACUCAGAAAGAAAAAAAAAAAUAACCGGAAGGAAAAUGAAAAAUCUGAAAGCUGAAAGAAGUACACAUUUGAAGGCACGGUUUAAAAAAAGAAAAAAAGAAAAGAAAGAAGCAAGCAUUCAUUCCUUCUACCACCACUAAUAUUAUUUUUUAAUUUUCUUUUUUUCCUUUUUUCUUUCUCUUUUUUUUCUUUUCUUUUUGGGUGUGGGGGGGAUGAUGCUCACAUAUAUUAAAUCGUCAGGGGUAGCUCCUACAGCCCAUUCUGAACCUGGAUGGGAGCCUGUACCCGUUUUACGGGCAGCUAGACCAGACGACAACCAGUUAGUGUAUCUGUUCACAUUAAACAAGAGUGUGAGCUAGUCCGUCGUUAACCAGUAUCCAAACUAUUGAAAUUAGUAUACACACUUGCCUUGAAAGGAGCUGCAAAGAUAGACGAAGAAACUUGUCAGAACAAGAAAGGACAAGAACAUCAUCUCUCCAGCAUGCUGUCAGGCAGUCUAGAAGCAUUACACUCUGCUUUAAUGUUAGAUCCUGAUUGUUUCCCCGGCCAGAAGAUGAAGUUUGUACGGGGGUUAGAAUAGGUGCUGACAGUGACGAAUCCAAAGCUCCAGCUAUUUCCUGAAGCCUGAUGUGAAAAUAAGUUAUUAAAAACUUGAACCCAAUGAAUAUGAUGUUUCUUCUAAAGUAUAAUCAUAAAAAUUGAAUUGAUUACCUCAGAGAAAAAUAAACCCCGAUAUUCCAUUGCUUCAUGAACUCAUUAUAUACAGAUGCUGCUCGAAAUUUAGCAACAGCAGAUCUGGAUGGACAAUAGCCUUCAAUGCCAAUUGGAUAAUGUUAAUGCAAUGCAGAAGAAGUCUUCAUGAAAGAUGUAAUAUAUGAUUUCCAGAUUUCUAAAAGGCCGGUCAAAGUAAUAUUUUGGGUUUCCAAAUUAGUGCAUAAGAUUAUUUAAUCCACAAAAAUAACACAGAAAAAGACUUAGGUAUCAUGUUCAGAAAAAAAAAAAAAAGACUUAGUUAUCUACCUUCCAAGUAUGCCAAGAAAUCAAGGCUCGACUUGUAGUUCUUCAAGAAUUCAGUAGGUCUCCCUGGGGAAAAUGCACCUGGUUUUGACUUUUGGAUAGCAGAGAGAACCUCUUUCAGGAUUGAAUUAGCCAAGAAAUCAAAUACAUGUAGUCCUGAGUUUUCUGAAGGAAUAAAAAUUAUAGCUUAAUCACAUCAUCCCAAUAAUAAAAUAUUAGUUCAUUCAAAGAUUGGAUAUAGCAAUAUAGUGCAAAAGACUCACAAAAGGAGUUAUUGAAAUGAACGAAAAAAGUGUAAGAGCACGAAACAGUUCCCAGCUAUUUCUUUGACCUCAAUAGUCAACAAACAGAAAAAUGAUGAUCUUGAAAUGAGCAACUUUUCAAAAAACCAAUGCAAUUAAGCAUGGUUUAUUGACGAAUGGUAUACCAAAAUUACAUGCAUACCAAAACAAGAAUUGAACCAACCCCAAAGUGAUAAUUGGAAUAUUUUCAAGCAAAAUAAAAUAACUAGAAGAUUGCUGUACAUUAAUGGGAAUAGAACAACAGGAAAAGGAAAAUAACCUGUAGCAGAUAUUUCUAACAAAAAUUUGCAGUCUUUAUCAAUAUAUUGCUUCAUUUGCUUGUAAUCAUUCUCCAAAUCAUCAUCGGAUGACCCAGUGUCCAUGCCAGACACUUUAUGAGGAAUAACUUUAUGAAUUGCUGGUGAUACAACAGUACUGCGAAAAAUUUCUUCAGCACUUGUGGUGUUAUCUAUGGCAGCAUAGGCACGUAGGCAGUUGUAAAUAGCAUUUUCAUCGUGAUGUGCAAGUCCAUCAACAAAACAAUGUCCCAAGCUCGUGUCCAACAAAAGGCUGGCACUCUGAAUCCUCUUGUCCAUAUUUUGAAUGAAGGGAAGAUUCUGUACUGGCAUAACACAGAAAAACAAUAGGUAUGGAUACAGAAGCAUCUUCAAGAUGAAGCGAAGAGUUCUAAGAAGGUUUUAGAGUUUACUCUCUCCUGCUAUCAUUCUCAUUGUUCAGUAAAUUAGUAAUUAAAUCAGGUACUAUGACAAAAUGGCCUAAACUAAAUGUUAGGGUAAAGAAAGUAAAUGGCAUGACAGUUGCAAGGUUAUAAAUAUCCCCAGUAGUUGAAAUCAAGACAGGUGGACCAUCAACAUGGAGUAAUGUAUAAUUGAAUCAGGAACUAUAACAAAAUGGCCUAAACUAAAUGUUAGGGUAAAGAAAGUAAAUGGCAAGACAGUUGCAAGGUUAUAAAUAUCCCCAGUGGUUGAAAUUGAGAUGGGUGGACCAUCAAUAUGGGAUAAUAAUGUGUAAUUGCGAUACUUAGCCAUUGAGAUACUUGAGAAAAUUUUGAUCCCUAGGCAGUUCCUAAAUUUAAUAUAUGUUUGGAAUGCAGUAAUGGAAAAGUACAGUCAACUCAUUAGUUACGGUCUGGACAGGAUGCAUAAGCUACUUGUUCGGCAAUGUCUACUGAUGUUGGGGGGAUUUAACAAACAUGGUGAAAUAUAAGCAGUCUCCCAACCCCUUGACAAAUGAUUUGAGGGGAGCUUACCAACUCGAUUAUCUUAUUUUUACUUUUACAUGUACUGGAACAGAAUCUUACUUCUCUAAGUAUUGCACUAAAUUGUCAUGAUAACUAAAUAUGUCCACUUGUUUUUUUUAAAAUAUAAUAUAAAGAAAUAAAAACAGAGUGGGAAAAGACAUUUCAUCAGUUUGAGGGAAUGAAACUAGAAACAAAACAGACUAUAGUAUCAUCCACAUAUUCCAAGGGAAAUUAUUUUCCAAACAAUGAUAUGGAGGACAUUACUGAAAGUUCCAUAACCUCAUCUUUUAACCCAUGAGAAAACCAUCUUUGUUCUAUAAAUUUCAGUUGUGGAAGAAUAUAAACGUAAUUGGUUCAGUUGGUGCAAGAAUAUUCAAUCCCUAAAUGCUUAACGUAAAUUUGAGGGAAUUUAUCAACAAAUUUUUCGAAGAAUAUACACUUUGAUGGCAUGAGAGUUUUAUGAAGAGUGUAGGACAAGACCUGUGCAUGAGCGAUGUAAAAUUUUAGCCGGUUCAUUUCACUGGAAAUUCUUUCCAAGAGCAUGCUUUGUGUUUCCCUAAGAUUUGUUCCGUUCUCGAUGUGUGGUAAAGAAGCACCAUUACUUAAUCCACUUUUAUCUGUUAAAUUCAUAGUUCCAUUUGAGCCAUCAGCAGGUGCACUUGGAAGCUCCUUGAUUAGUUUUUCAACCUGCAUCCAUUAAGAUCCAGCCGAGUAUGAAACAUAGAAAAUAAGUAUGAAGCUACUUGCACAAAGAUCUAGGAAAACAAGAUCGACUAAUAUUAAUCAAAGCUUUAUAAAGGCACAAACCAAUAACCUUGAUUCUUAACAAUGGCCAAGAUGAGUAUAACAAUAAACUAAAUUUUACGGCACAAUCUUCCUACCUAACUUGAAUGUAUUAUAUAAGCAUAUCAAUAAGAGAGAGAGAGAGGCUUGAUAAACUUCCUGUGAAAUUUGACUUUCCUUAUGCAAUCUUUACUCUAGGGUGAAGUUCUCUUUCAACAAUGGAACAAGACAAUUUUAAAAUGCUAAACAUUUCUCUUCUCAUUCUAUUCUCCAGAAGGUGCCAAUCCUAGAAGGUCUGAAGUUUAAACAACGCAUUCAAUGAUGGCAUCAAAAUGCACAAAAAAGUUCAUGAAAAGCUCCUAUACAUAUCAAUUCCAGAAGAAUAUGAGAAUAAUAUUCUAAACACCUAUGCGAGAUCAAAACUUAUCAAUUCUGGCACACUUUACCUUCUGCAAAAUUCACACACGACCUAUUUGUGUAUACACGAGUCACAAUUAAUACUACUAGUUUAAACAAAGUUGUUUCCGACAUUUGUGAGUUAGGAAGUGCAGUGGUAGUCGACACUCUACAUUCCAGUCCAUGAAACUCUCUGUGAACUUAUCGAUAUUUUUGAAUUCGAAAAAACAACUACAAUGCACUCUGCCCUAGUCAUGAAUGCCACAUCUCAUCAAAAUGGAAUUUGAAAACAUAAUACCUUCGACACGACGUGAAAUGUAUCAAGCAACAAUUCCAAGACCUCUCUGGCUGAAGCUGCCUCUGAUCUCUGCCGCAAUCCAUUUUGCAAAGCUGAAAGAGAGAACUCCACGGAACCCCUGAAUUGCUCAAUUUUCUCCCUUAGUUCAACCAAAGGAGCUCGCAUUCGCACGACUGCCGCUUCCACAUCGACAAGCUUUGUGCUCAGGUUGACAAAAUCGGUAUAGUCACGAUUGAUCAAAUCAAUGAGCUCACGGUUGAGAGCGGAAAGAUGAGAGUGGAGCUGAGAUCGGAGGGUGUCAAAUGGGACAAAUGUUCGAAGCUCAGAAAUGUACGACUCCGAAUCAAAAUUGGGGGAGAGGAAUAGGUCGGGCUUGAACCAGAGAGGAUGAGAAUCAAGUGGAUCGGAAAAGAGGUCGUUGGCCGAUCUGUGUGGUGGUGGAAUCAGAUCCGCCAUGGUAUCUGGUUUUCCCAGUAGUUCUCCGGUUGCUUCAAAUAGUGGCAAACCUUCGGAACAAUCUCCGAAGAACUCUGAACAAUGAAAAUGGAGAUACCAGAUUGAGAUCACAGAUCAAUAUACCAAAAAUUUGAAGCAGAUAGAAGAUUUGCUCAUGCAGGAGACUGGAAUUUAAACCGUCAACUACCGUCACUACAGCUACAGAAUCAUCCUUUUUCUUAGGAGGAUAGAAAAAUGAUUUCGUUCUUGCUAGAAUACGCAUCAACCGAACCGGUUCGAACCAAAUUAGCUCGGUUUCUGGUUCAAUCCGGUUUGAUUUUUCCUUUUUUUUUUUUAACAUUAUCCAAGGCCGAGGGCAAAACUUCAAAAGAGAGAAGUUGGCGGCAACUCACCACCUGCGCGUGGAUGGCUGCCGAUCGAAGACAGCGACUGCGGCGCAGACGUAGGCGAGCCGGAAAAGUGCAACCGACGGCGAUGCUUGCACGCCUGCUUUGGAAAACUGAGGUUUUGAUUAGGGAAUUUUUGUGAAUAACAAAAGAAAAUGUAAAAGUAUUUACAAAAUAUACCAAAAAGUUCAAAUGAGCCAUGAGAGUCCAUAAAAUUUUGAUAUAUUUGAUAAAUAUUUUAUUAUUUUGAAAUUAAUCUUUGUUUUCUCUUCAUUUAACCCACAGACAUAUAGGCAGUUGGGUCCAAUUUCAAGUGAGUAGCAAACCCAUCUCAAACAAUUUGGGGUACCAAUUAUAUAUCACAUGUCGCGUCUCUUUAGUUUUUUUUUUUUUAGUUCUUUUCAUUGCCGCCAUAAAGAAGGUUUUUGAAACCUCUUUUCUUUGUUUUCUUUUCCUCCUCCUUGUAUCUAAUGUAUUUCUUUUAGUUCUUUUCUUUGUUUUCUUUUCCUCCUUGUAUAAAAUCUUUAACAUUUUCCUUGUUUUAUUUAUAUUUUUUAUUUUCAAGCAAUUUUAUUUCUAUUUUGAAAAUACUAAAUUUAGAAUUUAUACUGUUGGAGCAAGAAAUUUAGGUUAAUUAAAUUUGUCAUGUGAUCACAUUGUCAUAAUUAUAAUUUGGUUGGAUUUGAAUAAUUAAGUUUUCUUAUACUCUAAAUAUAAAAAUAAAAUAUUUAGAAAGAAGAAACUUUCACAAAUAUCAUAAAUUAAAAUUUAUUUUCUUGUUUAAGAUUUCAUAUAUUUUUUGGACAAUUAUAACACUAUCAUUAUUAUUAAUUAUAUAUAAUUUUCAAAAUUAAAUUUAAAUUAUUUUAUUAUUCAUCUUCUAUACAAUUUGUUAUAAAACCAAAACUUUCUUAUUUAUGCAUUUAAUUAAUGUCUAACUUUAUUACGGAAAAAAAUUAGAAAUAGAUUUUUAAUUAAGUAUAAAACAAAAUCCUUUUUAAUAUAAAAUAAUUCAAUAUAUCUGUAUAUCACAUUAUCCACACGACGUUAAUAAUCUUAGUGCUUUCAUAUGUCGUCAACAACGUCUUCAUCAUUUAAUUUUUUCGUCUUUUCUUCUGGUCGCAACGAUUUCACAUUAUUCAUACCACGUUAAUAAUCUGAGUGUUUUCAUCAGUCGUCGACAACAACUUCAUCCUUCAAUCUUUUCGGUUUUUUCUUCCGACAACGAUUACAUAUAUUCCGAUCAUGUUCCUCCUAUAAGAAAAACCACAUCAUUCAUAUUACAUGCUCAUCAACACAUUUUUAAGAAAAACCAUAGAAUAAAAGGUUGACAUGCUUGAUUGAUCUAACUAAUGAAUAAUAUACAAUAAACAUCUUGAUCUAGAAGUAGUUAACCGUGACCACAAAACCACAAAAUCAGCACCCUCGUGAGGAAGCUUCAGAUUCAUAUACCAUAGACACUUCAUGGAAAUGCGUGUUCCGUCGUUCACCGUUGCCUCACCUAUGUUCAUUGGAAGAGAGAUUUACAGUGAGUUGCGAAGAAAAACCAACAAGAAGAGAUUUACAUUGUUCGACUACCCCAAGAAAGUGAAUAGGAAAAGGCAACGUACACUGGAGUAGAGGAGAAGAAAUGCAACUUACAUCGUGGCCUCACUCGAGUAGAAGAGAAUGUGACACCAGAGUAGAGGAAAAGAAAUGAAGCGAGAAAGUUCAAUCUUUCUUUCACUCUGCGAGUAGAUGUCUCAAUCUAUCCUAAAACUCAAUGUUUUUAAAUUCAAUCAUAAAAAUUAUUUAUUUCUCUAUUUUUUUUUUUUGCGAUUUCUCAAAAAUGUUAGGGUAUAUAUAUAUAUAUAUAUAUUUUGCCCCUUUUCCUCUGUUUUUUGUUCUCUAAAUCCUUAAACCCUAUCUCACCGGGCCCCUCCCUCCCGUUGCCAGCCACUUCCCCCUGCUCCGCCGUACGCCGCCCCUACCUGUCUCAGUGGCGCUGUAUUAUCAGCUGCCGCAGUCUAAUCACUCCGAUAAAUUCCCUGCCGCUCCCUCUCAAACUUUCUCACCUCUCCCACUCAGAAUUAUUUAUCUUUAUUGUUUGUCUCAGAAACACAGUGCAAUCCCUAACCUGCCCCGUUGGUGAGAUAGCACUGCCGCCUCUCAUUUUUAAGAUCCCCAAGGUUUUGAUUUUUGAUUGUGUUUUGUUGUUUUUUUGUUGAUUGUUCUGUGCGUCCCCGAAGAAAAAAAAAUGAAGAAGCAAAAUUUUUCGGUUGAUAUAUUCUUCAACCAAUGUUCCACUAGUCUACACGAAAACGUAAAAUCAAGAGAAGAAGUUACAGAUUCAAUUCAAAGGAUGAACAAAGCAAUUGGUUGGCUAUAAAAAAUAAUCGAAAAAGCUGUAUUUGAAAAAGAUUGAGUUACCAGUUGACAGAAAACAGCAAAAUACAAUGGACAAACAUUUUGAAAAAAGCUGGAGUUUGAUUGAAUGGCGUUGAAUUUGCUUGAGUAUAGAAGAAACUAUUGAGCCAGAUAAAGUUCAAAAUAUCUUGCAUGUGCUAUGCCUAUGAUCUAAAGCAUUUAAAAGUUAAAUUCUGAUUAGUGUAUUUGCCUUCUGUUCUAUCCUUACAAUUAAAAAAAUGAGAGUUUAUAUUUUAGAUGAGUUACAGUCUAUUUAAAUAAUUCAAAAAAUUUCAUUUCCGAUUGUUUAGCAGAGUAAGUUGAUGGGUGCAGUCAUUCUCGGCUUGCCAGGUCCUUGGGCUGACGAUAAUCUCGAACUUUCUGAUCAUUAUACUACAAAAGUUGGCGGGAUUCCUGUAAGUUGCUAGUUAGAUGAUAUCCUCGAGUAUGGAUAUAUUUUUCUUUUUAAUGGUAGUUGCAAGGUACAUUUGAUUAUUGCUUGAAACAGGACUUACCUUUUCAAAAUGUCAACCACAGUCUGUUAGACUGUUCUCAGUGUGGAAGUAAAUUAUGUCUUGUUUUACAGGUGAUUUUAUUUUAUGUUUUAGAAGUUUGUAACUUUUUCGCCUCUUACAGUUCCUCUUCUUCCAUUCUAUCUAAUUUUUUUUAAAUAGUUAUACUUAAGGUAGUUGUGCUUUCUUGAAGAUUUAUGCUCCAGUUUCAAUAGAUAGAACAAACAUAGAUGAGCGCUUUCUCCUUGUAUUUGGUUGUCUAACUCCAGAAUGUGGGAGCAGUUCCCUUGGGUUAGUAUUAAUUUUCCUCCUAUCUCUUUGGCUGAUGGAAUGCCAGUUAUUAUUUGGUUUAACAUUGAACUUUGGCUGUCCUCACUUGGGGUGUGCAGUUGGCGUGUUCUUCGUGUUCAAAAAUCAUGUGACAAGGAGUUCUCCAAAGUUUCUCAAGAAAUUGGUCCCUUGACAACAUCGACUUCAGCUGCAAAGACUAACUGGUGGGAGCAACUGGAUGAAGAAAGCGAUGAAGAAAUGGAUUUGGAGGAGCUGCAAAAGGCAUUUUCAGAUGUUGCAACUAAAGUUUCUCAUGCCAAGGAAACUCCGAGUAAAUCACAUUCUAAGACUGUCACAAAGAGCUUAACUUCCAGACCAACAAGAGUUGUCGAUGUGAAAACACCAGGUAUGGACUAUCCAAUUUUUUUUUCUUUUUUUUUUUUUUUUUGUAGAAAACAGAAAAUAUCAGUAACUAGUGAUUUUAAUUAGGUGUAACAAAGGGAAGAGAUUAUUUGAUAUUAAGGUCAAGGAAGUUACAGUGCCUUGAUAAAAAAGAACUGAAAAGACGUUCAACAUAGAUUUCAGGGAAACACACAAUCCUGUUUACUUUUUUCUUGAGUUAUCUCUGGAAUUGGGAGCAAUGCCUUAUCUACGAGAAUGGGAGGUCCAUUUGAAAAUUCAAGUUUCCCCAACUAUGAUGAUGUUAUAUGAAGUCCCAAGUGUUACCGUCAUUGUUCCAGAUGUCAGCAAUGCUUCAUGUUUUGAGUUAGCUAUGGAGGAGAGGAACUAAAUUUGCCGAGAAAAGUCAGAUGUACAGCAGUUCUCCCACUCUGACUUCAAGAAAGUCCAACUGUUACCUGUAAAGAACAAAGGGGACUCUUGGAGAUUAACAAAAUCUUAUUUUGGACUAGAAUAAAGAAUUAUUCCAUAUAAAUACACUUUUUUUUUCUGAUUACAAUUUACACUAUGCUGCAAAGUUGGCUUCUGCAGUAAAGGUCAGAUCCAUUAGAGCAAAGAGCAUUUGGUCUUUAUAUUUUCCAUUCUUAACCUCCAAAACAAAUAGGUUUGAACGUGGUUCACCAACCAAUUAAUAAGGUAGGAGGUUCCUGCAGUAGCAACAUAACCCAUUCAAAUAAAGUAUCUGAAAAUAUGCACUGUUGUUCGCUUCUUACUUCACUAUUUAUGUGUUUCAGCUAUGGAUUUAGAAACACUUUUAAUGGUGUAGUACAUCUGUUUGUUUGCAGUGGUACCAUGCUUUUAUAUCUAUACUGAAGAUGAACCAUCGUCAAAGGAUAUUUCUAUGUGUUCCAAUUAUGCAUCACUCUCUUUAAAGGAGAAUCAAAGUGAUGAGGAGGAUUCAAUACAAGAAGAAAAGUGGUCAGAAGAAGGUUACGAACAUGACAAGGCUCUGACUGCUGACAGAACUUACCUGAAGUUCAAGAAAAAAUUGGAUGCAUAUCCAGAACAAUGUUUGAGGUAUUUUGUUGUGGUAAUAUACAACUUUUUAAAUUGUGAUUAUCUGCUUAUCAUCUUACUAUUAUACUUCUGUUUACCAUGGAUUGACCUAUGGGGUGUUUGGCAACUUUGAGUAAUUUGGGAGAGUUGGGUUGGGUGGGUAAAAAAAAACUAACAUCCUAUUUGGUUCACCAAUAAUUAAGGAGGUUUACUACCUUGUUAUUCGUAUCAACUCAAAUACCUAAAUACUCACAUUUCUCACAUCGUUAUUCUUAUCAACUCCCCCAAUAGCUUUCCUAUAAUUAUUAACUCAACUCAUCUCUUUGUUUUUAUCGCUAACCAAACACCCUUAGUGGGUAGGAGGCUAGGAGUUGUCAUGUUUAAGAGAUAGGGCUUCAAAUCUCUUUUUAUCUAGGAUAUUAAAUACAACACAAAUCCUCCUUCUAGGAUAAUUGCAAUGGGUAGCGCUUUUGGAGCCAAUAAUUAACGUGGUGUUUAGUGACUCAUAAUGGAAUGAGUUUGUAUUGUAAUGUAAUUCAAAACCCAUGUUUAGAUUGAGUGUUUUGGGUCUGAAUUGUGUAAUGCAAAGCUCAUUACAGUUUUAAAUCCAAUCCUCCUUCUCACUAUUUUCACAUGUCACAAUCUCAUAUAGGGGUGUUAAAAAAGCUUGACAACUCGAACUACCCAACACAAAUUGUAAGGGUUGGAUUGGGUUGGGUUGAAUUUUUUAUGUUUUUUUUCAGGUUGCAUUUUUUAAAAUUCAGGUUGAUCCAACCUAACUCGAAUUUCUAAUAUUAUUAAAAUGUAUAUAUUAUAACUUAUAAAUAUUAUAAUUUAUACAUCUUGUUAUGAAGUUUGUAAUAGAUAUGUUGGAUUUUGAUAUUUAACUUUUGAGUUUUAUGAAAAUUUAGUUAUUGAUAUAUUUUGUAGACGAAUUUAAGUACUUUAAGUUAUAAAAAUAUAAAUAAAUAAAUAACCUCGACAACUCAACCCAACCCAACCUGAAUUUUAAGGGUUGGGUUGAAGAUCCUAUUUGAGGGUUAUCAAUUUGACAAACCAAAAAAUUUGGGUUAGUGCAAAAAGAACCAAAGCCAUUUACACCUCAUUUUCGUUCAAUCUUCGAUUAGUCACACUUUCCAACAAGCAUAUGAUUCCCAUUAAUCUGAAUUACAUUACAGCUCUCUAAACCCCUUAGGGAGUUGUGAACUCCUAGGGGCAUACAUUGUUAGGAGCACAACUCCCUUGGUCCCCACAGUGUUAAAAGUUGAUAAAGUAUAAAAUUGAUAUUUUUUAGUGGUGGGACUAUCAAACUCCUUGGUUCAAACAAGGAGUGGAGUUCACAACUCCCUACUUUCCUACUCCUACUUCCAUUCUCCUCGGGCCAAACACACCCUAACUAUAUGACUAUAACAACAUUUUUUAAGAAUUGCUAUUUUGAACCAGGAGUGGAGUUCACAACUCCCUACUUUCCUACUCCUACUUCCAUUCUCCUUGGGCCAAACACACCCUAAGUAUAUGACUAUAACAACAUUUUUAAAGAAUUGCAAUUAUAGUAAAAUAUAUUAGUGAUAGACUCUAUUGCUAGUAGACUCCUAUUAGCCAUAUGAUCUAAUCAUCGCUAAACUUUAAGAUUUGCAUCUAAAUUAUGCUGUAUUUGCAUAUUAUUUUGUAUUGUGCUAUAUGGGUUAAUUCUUUGAGCUUCAUUGCUAUAUUUGCAAUUGGUCCAUUCUUCCAAAACCAAAUACAAAUAGCAUAUGCAUAUUCAAGAGGGAAGGUAGACAUUUUGUGGAGUGAUCGGGGGGGCUUGGGUUAGCAAUAGCAUAUUCAAGAGGGAGGUUCCUAGUGCCUUUAUACUUGGUUUAUUUAGUAGUUUUUCCUUUAUAUUUCAAUACAUUCCAGAUCUUAAUUCUAGUUAGGUAGUAUUCAAAACUUUCAUUGAGUAUAAAAAAAAGAGGAAAAAUUACAACAUCCAAAAGACUAAGUUCACCAAAUGUUGUGCACUAACAAAAGGAGCUCCACUAAAAAGACAAUAUGACCCAAAGAAUAGUUACAAACAAGCUUUCGUCACCUUUGACACUCUACCAGUCGAGCCUUAGAACCCUUUCUUGGAUAUUUGUUUUAGUGUGUUCUGGUGUGUCAGCCGGAUCCACAUUUUUUUCCAACAACGUAAUAUCUUGAAAUGGUAUAGGUUUAUUGUUAAGCAUUUAGGAUGGAUUAGGAAUUAAGAGGCAAGUGAUUGAGCAGGUUGAACUUCAAUACUUUUUCGGGCGAAUUUCAUUACUUGUUUCUGAAUUUUUAUAUGCUCCAAUCUCUCAAAUUUCUCUAACUGCGUCAUUUCAUUCAAACUGUAGGAAAUGAGUGUAAAACCAAUCUUAAGAGUAGGGACUAAAACUUUCUAAUAUUACAAGUACAGUAGAGCAAUACAACAUUUACUUUGAGCAUAUGACGUCACAUAUACUCUAACCUAAGUUUUUAAGCCAAACUAUUUGAAAACAGUAGUGAGUACAGUUUUUGGUGCAGUUUUGGCCAUUAAUUUAUUGACAUUAUUCAGUUGAUCUCAACUAUCAAUAUCUAUAAAAUUGUUUUCUUUUAACAUUUUUCCUGUCCUAUCUUCAGAUACUCGUUCGGUGGGAAGCCAAUUUUAGCAAGAUCAGAGGACGGAGAAGCUGGAAAGUGCAAGGCAUGUGGUGGAUCAAGGCAGUUUGAAAUGCAGCUUAUGCCUCCACUGCUAUAUUUUCUUCAGGAAGCAGCUGAUGAAAGUCAAAAACAGUUGCUGGAGACCUGGAACUGGAUGACGCUUUUGGUACAUACUUGUUCUGAAGUGAGUUCUCUUUUCCCUUUUGCAUGUCUAAUAUAGGCUGAAAAAAGGUGUUUUACGUAUUUAGAAAAUCAUUCCAAGUAUUCUUAGCCCCUUUUGUACGACUUUUGAGAUGGUAGAGGAGUAAUACUAAUAUCUUUCUUUAGUGAUGCAUUUAUCCUCGUUCACACACAACACACAACACACAACACACACCCAAUACUAAAAAGUAUGGGUGAACACUAAAACGACCAAACAGAAAUAAUUGACAAAAUUUAACUGAAAAUAUGGUUUUUACCAAAAGGUUGGUUCGGGUUAAAAUUAUAAGAAAACCAAUUGUUUUGGUUCAGUUCGGUUUUGGAAACUGAACUGAAUUGUUUAUAUCAUAUAUAAAAUCGAAAAUGGAACUAAACCAAACCAUUUAUAUUUUAUAUUAUAUAUAUUCGAUUCAGUUCGGACAAAACAAAUGGUUCAGUUCGUCAUAUUUCUUGAAAAUUUUUAGUCAGUUUGGUUUGCUACUAAACCAAACCAAACCUAACGUGAAAAACCCUGCUACAAAUUGAAAACUUGCUUGGUCUUAGACAUAUUUGAUCAACACCUCCAAUAUAUAUGAUAGUUUGUUCCUACCAAUUCCAAUAACUCAAUAGAUGAGACACCAAUUAGCAUCUCAAAGGUCGUUGAUUUGAACUCUCACCUUCACAUGUUAUUUUUGGUCGUCUAUUGUUACUGAUUUGUUCUAGUUGUGUACUGAUAUUGUUUCACUAUUUAAUUACAUUCACUUUCAUUUUGUUUUUUCUUUUUGUUAGAGCUGUUCGCAAUCUUCUGAGAAGUCAGAUGAUGGGAACUGGAUCAUUACAGAAGAAUCCACGAUAGUGCAACUCGAGAAGCCCUUCAAUAGCUCCCCAGAACUAGUUGGCUUCUUCUCCCUCACCCCAUGAUUGAUUUCGGGACCGAGACAUUGGAUAAAGCAUUCACAUUAAAUUUUAUCUCACUGUAUAUCUCAAGGAAAAAAUUUUGUGGUUUGUAAUUUAAUGUAUGUUUAGUUGUCUCAUAAUCCACGUUGAUUUGGUUGAAUGAUCGAUUGAUUGUGUUCAUAGUGAGAAUCUUAUAAUGCUAUAAUGCAUGCUUCACGAAUAUGACACUUGAAACCAUUUACGUGAAAAUGGCAUUGGUCCAAAAUGACAAACGUCUUACUCUUUAAAGAAUUGUCAAUCGACUUUCUUUUGAUAUUGUAUCAUCAAUACUUACAAUAAAAAAAUUGUAUUUGUUUUUAUUUUUCUUUCAUUUAUUAAUGUUUUUAUUUUUCUUUCAUUUUUAAUAUUUUUCUUUCAUUUAUUAUUUUUUUUUUCAAACUAUAGAAGAGAACUAACUAUUUGGCACAAAUAGAAUGAAGAAAAGAAGAUUAAUUUGUUUGAAAAAGAGAAUAAAUAAGAGAAUUAAUUUGGAGAGAAUAAUAAAUAAAUGAAGAAAGUGAAAAAUAAAUAAGGAAAGAGAAGAAGGAGAAGGGUUAUAUAGAAAAAUAGAAAGAUUAUAUUGGAAAAUAAAAAGAUUAAGUGCAAAAAGUUGUGUAGUAAAUGGGAAAAGAGAAGGAAUAGGGGGAUUAUGGGUAAUACUCCUUUCCUUUCCCUAAACACCCCCUUAAUAUCAAUAUUUAUCAUCAGUUCAAAAUGCAAUAAUAAAUAUUAUAUCAAAAUAUGUGUAUCUACAAUUUAUGGACAUUCAUUGAAAAACAUCAAAAGUUUAAGGGUUGUAUAUUAUUGGUACCAUUAAAAAUUCAAUUCAAAAUUGUCAUUAGUAUAUUAGUACUCUAUCAACACUCAUUCUAGAUUCAUUUCAAGUAACAAGUGUAUCAACAAUGAAAAAACAAUACAUCGAUUGCAUUCAUUCCAAAUUGAAUUUCGAACAUAACAUUUGCUACGUGCAACUAUAUAUUUGGUAAAUUGCACAUCGACAUCAAUUCAAGAUUAAUUCCAAGUGCAUAAGCAGCAAAAAGAAAGAAAGAAAAAUACGUUGUUAAUGACAAUUGUUUGAGCGAAGAAUUGCGAGUUUUUCCCUUUGCGACAAAUACAAUUAAACGAUCAACCUAUAAUGAGGACAUUUUUUUAAUGGUUAAACUAACAAAUUGGUAAAAUACAUGCAGGGAUUUGGCACCCAUUGAAGCAUCACAGUUGGAUAACUAUACAAACAAAUAUACAUAUAAAUGAUGUUGAAAAACUUGCCUCUUACAAAGCAGGAAGUUGAGCCAGCCAUGGAAGGAGUUUCUCAUGCACUAAUUCAGGUCUAUCAUCAUGGGGACAGUGUCCAACUCCUUUCAAUACAAAAAGACUGACAUUUGAAACUUCCAUACUUAACUUCUUGAAGUACUUUCCAACAGGGCCAUCAAGUGGCGUGAAUGGAUCUUCAUCUCCCCACAAAAUCAGAACAGGCACAGAAAUUUUUGGCAUUAGUUCCACCGGGCUUGGUCCUGGUGGUCCUGUAACGAUUGAAACGAAAGCAUCAAGCGCCCCUUCGUCAUUUGCUGGUUCCACAAUUAUCUAUAUUUAUCAAUUCAAACAUGGUUAGAAUACAUCAUUAAUCCGAGUAAGAAGAGAGGUGAGUGGGAAGAAAGAGCUCCUACGUCUAUCAGAUCUUCAUCCACACUUUCCUUGUUUCCAUAUACGGAUGACAAAAUGUUCCUCAAGCUAUCUCUGCGCAGAAAUAUUAUACUUCCUCUAAUUUUAAUCUCCAUUUAACUUUUCCCACAUGAAAACAAAAGCUGAAUAAAAGUAUACCGAAUACAAAAUACCGAAUACAAGUAAACCAAAUACAAAAUACCUCUUUUUCACACGUUCGAACAGUGCUGAAGCAAUUAUUCGUUGGUUCAAUAAGAAAUCGAACAGCCAAAGCAAUGGUAAUAACAGUUUGAUCCUCCAAUCGUCGACAAUUGCUUUAUUGUUCAUACCACCAGCACAGUUUAAGAGAACAAGUCCUCGAACUAGAUUUCUACUGGAAUCUGGUUUUUCGGUAAAUAUAAGAACACUUCGCAAAAUCAAGAGUGCUCUGUAAGAAUCUAUGUCUGCAAAUUUUGGUUUGACGCACCUGAAGCGGCAAUCACGCAAGCAAGGCUUCCCACGGAGUUACCCACUAGCACGGUUGGCUUCUUAAUGACUUGAUCCACAAAAUCUAAUAUCAACUGUCAGCAAUGAGAAAGGAAUCACAUUAACGAUUCCCCAUUGAUUAAUAAUGGAAGACAUUUAUAAGAUUAAAUACAAAAUAGAACCUUCCAUCUGAACAUACCUCUGCCCACGUUUCCAUGGUAUAUGCAAAGCCAGCAGGCUUAUCGGAAGCACCAAAGCCAAGGAGAUCGAUGGCAUAGACAGUUGAAUAUUGAGACAAUGUGCUAAUAUUCCUGAAGACAUCUCCAAAUAAAAUAUCAGGACUCGCUGACAUGCAUGACAUGAACAAAAAAUCUCUUAAUAAAGGCAUGUUGAUUGUUUGAUGUAUGACCCAGUCAAUCGCUGGAACUUCUGUGAAUCAGUUGGUUUAAUGACAGUCCAUAACACCUAACGAAUGCGUUGUAUUCAAAUUACAAGAACUUAUUGCCUAUUGGAUUUUGGAGACUAUAACUUUAAAUGUUAAAAUGUCAAUAAAGUGGAGAGAAAGACCAAACCUGCGCCAAUGGGGGAUAGAAGCUCCAAAUCCAUGAACUAAAAGGACGACAGGACUUGACCUUGAUUGUGGUUGCUGUUGAAGUUGAUAGUCGGAAACAAAAUAGUUUAUGGAGUACUGAUUCCAUUGCCACUUGUUGGAUCUCUCCCGUAUUUCUUGCACCUCCAGAGCAGGCCCAAUGCACACAGAUGCCGCUGAGGAUGUUGCAGUAAUCACAGCUGCUUUUGUAGAUGGAUUUUUGCUGAGACCAACAAACCGUCCUGCCCAGUUCCUGGAUCUGAUCAAACAGUUCCGAUUUCUCUGAAAUGUUUGUUGCAAAUUCACAUGCACCUGCAACCAAUGAAGCCUGAAUGUGGUCCCGUUACUCUCAUCCCCACUUUUACCAAUAAAAUUUCCCUACUGCUCGCUACUUGUUAAUUGUUAGUUUAUCUGUUCAUUUAUUGUUACCAUUUAAAGGGCAAUGGAUGUUAAAAGAGUCAUAGUAUGAGUUAAUAAUUAAAUAAACUUAUUUAGAACAGGUAAAGAUUUUUACCCGGUCCUUCAAAAGGAAAAAAAAUUGAAACUCUGCUGUCAGUAAAAUAACCUUUUGCCAAUUUUUAAGUUUGGCCAGAAAUUUACAAAGUUGGAUACUAUCUAGGAUGUUUUGGUCCUUUUGGAGAACUCUCUUGAGAAGAACUAAAGCUCCAAACUUAAAAAGUUAAACUAGGAACUCUCUAGUGUGUGAAUAGGUGCCUACUUUGUGCAAAUUGAGCCUCAUGAUGACCGAUUUUGUGGCUCCUCCUUCGUUCAAGAUUUCAUGCAAGGUAAAGUUGUACAAUUUAAAGAUUGACUUAGAUGGGAUAGAUGGUCAUAACAAUUUUUGUGAAUAUAUUAACCCCUAACCUAAAUGUUACAGCAAAUGACAGUCUUGUGACAGUUGUGUCAUUAUGUAAGCCCAAAUUACAUCCUCUUGUUCCUUCAUCAAUGUUCCUUUUUAUUAUUUUUCUUCCUUUUAAAAAAGAAACAUUUAUUGAUAAAAUGAAAUACGGGGAGACUCUAACUAACAAUAGGUGAUUACAACAAAAAAUUUCAACAGGAAACUAAAUAAGAAAGAUUUUAACUCUUAAAAGGGUGAUUAGUUUUGCACCAGAACGUAGUAGAUGGAACCAAAUCCAUUAAACUAUCAAAACAAGUCAAUAAAGAGAUGCUUAUUACACUCACCCCAUAAAGUCCAGAAAAAAGCAUGCAAUAUGGCCACCAAACCAUCUUCUUUGUACCAUAAAACGGAUGACUCACCAAAAGAGAAGCCAAAAUGUCAAGAAUAUUGUAUUUUUUUAAAAUGAGAAACACGACAUUCAUUGAAAAAGAAUGAAAGAAUACACGGGCAUACAAAAACCCAAAUCCACGAAAAGGAGGAAUCCCGUUACAAGGCACUCCAACUAUAAAUAAGCAUGCUCACAAAAUAAUUAUAAAAAGUCUUCGAAAUCGAAGCCCAAUGAGAAACAUGAAGGUAACAAGAUACGUUAAGCCUUCACUCCCCUUCUCAACGCCCCUAAACACCCUACUAUUCCUCUCGUCCCAAAGCACUCAUAGAAUGGCACAGACGCUAGCACACUAGAAAAAGUGGUUUUUCUCCCCACAGGAGAUGUCAACAAUAUUGUUAGGGCAACCAAUCAAGAUUCAAAAGCAUCCAAAAUAAUAUGCUAGAAGCAAGAGGCAAAAGAACAAUGCAUAAAUGGAUGACCAGGGGACUUAGAAUGGCUUUGACACAGAACACACUAAGAUGGAGAGAUAAACAUAUAAGGCAUACAAUAUUGAAGACUAUCAACACUAUUGACGACAUCCAAGCUACGCUCUCAUGAGAAAAAUUUUAUUUCUUAGGAUAAUGAUCCAUCCACAUAAAAGAAUAUAGAUCCUUUGCAGGAGAUCCACAAUGUCCAUCAAGUCACUCAUAAGAGAUUUCACAGAAAAAGAUGAGGAUCCUCCAUGAAUCAAGAGAAGCACGAGAUGUAACAAAGAACAACAACUAAGAAAGGGAAGCUCAGAGCUGAAGUUUCAAGGUCAUUAAGAUUGCACACUUUCAAAGACAUAAAUCCCACGCUUUUGUAUUUACAAUCCAACAUCACCCACCUUAAUAUCAAGAUAACAAGCAAGACGAAGCAACCUGAGGAACAUCGUUGAGAGCACAUCGCAAUUAAGCCAAGUCAAUAUGCCUUUGGCUCUUGAUAAAGCAUCUUCUGAAUUGACAACCUCUAUUCUGGUGGUAUUCUUGUCUUAUAAAGUGAACCUGAUUAUAAAGUUCAUGAGGCUAUUCAAGGCCAUUUUAUUGUAUCUGUACAUUUAUCUUUGGUUGAUGGUUUUCUCUUCGACUUAAAUCGGUUUUCUUUUUUUUUGAAACGGAGACAAGCUUCUUUAUUAAUGUAAAUCUCAAAGUACAAGAGAAUUAUACAAUGAAGACUUACAUCGGUUUAUGGACCCUCUGACAAUGUUCUCAAAAUAGAUUAUCGGAAAGAGCUUAGUGAUUGAGUUGGUUUGGAUCAGAAUAUAUUAUUGGAAAGAGCUUAACGAUUGGGUUGGAGGUUGGGGGAGACAGAUGGGUAAUCGCAGAUGACUUUAAUGUGGAUCAAUGGACUUUACAAAAAUCUCACAAUCAUUUUGUCUCUUCAAGUAUACAGCUUUCAAUCAACAGAUUGCAAACUAUGAAUUACAUGAUAUUCCUCUCAAUAAUGGCCGUUUUACUUGGUCUACUUCUAGCCUUACUAAAUAUCUAUCUUUAUCAGAUAGAUUCUUGCUUACUGAUGCAUGCAUUGCCAAGUAUGGUUCAAUGAUCUCAAAGUGGCUCAAUAGCAUAACAUCAAACCAUUUUCCUUUGUUUCUGACUUUGAGUAACAUUGAUUGAGGUACUGCCCUAUCUGUUUUGAGAAUGCUCAACUUACAAUUCCUUUUUUUCGGGCUAUGGUGGAGGUUUGGUGGAAUAAUCAUCCCCAUGUUGACAUACAUAGACACGAACUAUUGAUGAAAAUUAAAGGAACUUCAUUUUUCCUUUGCAACUGGAAUAGAACUCAAUGAUUAGAGGCAUCAUCUUUACCUUCUCUUGUAUUGGAAAGUUCCACCAUUGUUGCCCUUUGGGCUAAAUGCAUUUGGCAAUUCCUUACUGAGCAGGACGUGUUAUGGCAGAAAGUUAUCGUUACUAAACAUCAUUUGACUGAUAGAGGCUGGCCCUCCUGCAAACAUCAUGGUUCACAUCUCUCCCCUUGGAGGUAUAUUUGUCAGAACAUCGGGCUGACUGAUAGUUGUUUUCAACAUCAUAUUGGUGAUGGUACUACUACCUUUUCUUGGAUUGACCCUUGGCUUAGUUGUGGUAUUUUAGCUACUUCGUUCACUCAAAUGUUUCGCCUUGCUCUUUGCCCUACUGAAACGGUGGCAGAUGUAUGGAUUGUUGAUUCUGAUUCAUCGGAUCUUCACCUCUGUCGAAACAUUAAUUAUUUGAAAUUAUCUGAAUGGGAUAUUUUAUCUGAUCAUCUCACAUCUGUUUGACAUUGAUCAACUGCUAAUGUUUGGAUUUGGCCAAUGCAUCACUGCAUUUCAUCGUUAAAUCUCUCGUGGUUGAUAUUAUUGGAACUAAUGACCACUUUGGAAGGACCUCUACUAAUUAUUUGGAAGGCUUACCUGAAGAAAAUUAAAAUUUUCUUACGAGAGCUCAAACUUGGAGCCAUAAACACGUAUAAUAGAUUACGGCGUCAUAUCACAUAUGCCUUAUAUGCAUCUUUCCCCUUCGUGGUGCUCCAUGUGUUGCUAUACCUCUGAAACUCCAGCUCAUUUGUUUGCACACUGCUCUUUUGCGUCACAUUUUUAGGAUAUUGUUCUAGAAGCCUUUGAUUGGUCUUUGGCCUUCCCCAACUCUACCAUUGAUCUCUAGAAAUCUUUGCUUGUUGGGCAUCCUUUUGGUGGCACUAGACAUUUUAUUAGGUUAUCUAUUGUGUGAGGUUUCAUUUGGACUCUUUGUGAUGAAUGUAAAGGUCAGCUCUUUAGAGACACAUCCUCUGCUGCUGAUAGAUUUCGGGACUCAGUUGUUACUCAUGUUUUCAAUUGGUGUAAUUCUGAAUUUCUUUUUACUUCCUAUAGGCUAUAGUUUAUAUUUUUUCACUUCCUAUUGGAGAGAUUUCUUAUAAUCACCUAUAGGAGCUGGCCGCUGGGUCUUCCCUUGUUUCAUUCAUUCAAAGAAAUGUUCCUAUAUAUAAAAAAGAACUAAAUCAAGCAUCUUCGGAAGAUUAGUUGAUUUCAGAGUUGGGUGGGGUUCAUUUGCAUCUUAAACAGGCUCUGAAGUUGGUUAUGCGGUUCACCUUUGAGAGUCAAGUAGGGAUCUUUUAGCAUUUUACCAUUUUAGGGAGUUAUUGGUGAAGAGUUCAAAAAUCGGUGUUGUGAAGUCUCAAAAUGCAUUUAGGAGUUGGGUGGGAGCUCAUAUGCAUCUUAGAGAGCUUUUAGGAAUUGAAUGGGGUACACUUCAACUUUUAGAACAUACUUCGGAGUCAAAUGGUGGUCUUUCGCAUUUUUGAGUGUGUCUUGGGAAUUGAAGGGUUCUUUUACAUUUUAAGGUACAAUUAGGAUUUAGUUAGGGGCUAAAUGUACUCAAGAAAGUUCAAAACACAGACAAAAAAAGAAAGAAAGAAAAGGGGAAUAAGUCUAGUUCAUCGCAUCAAGAGUAAGCUAACACCUUCACAGUUGAAGAAAGAAGUGAUGAAAAGUGAACUCACCCGAGCACGUCCAACCGAUUCAGGCGGCGGAGAUAAAGUAUGUAGGAGUCCGGAACUUGACUGAGAGAGGGGCAUGUGAAGUACAAGGGAGGAGGAGGUAGAGGUUGAAGGGGCGUAAGAAGGACCGAUGGAGGCAAUCUGUGAGAGAAAGGAGGAGGGGGAAGCGGAGACGGAUCCCAGCGGUGCAGCAAACAUUGGAGCGUCGAGAGUUGAGAAUGAGAGUGAAAUGAAGAAGAUGAGAGAGUAAUGAGAGAAGCUUAGUAGCAAACCAUUGAGUGGGUCCGAAUCGGUUUCUACGUGACUGAAAAACAUACACGUAGGACCUUAGUUAAGUGCCAUUUCAAGCAUCUCAAGUAGAGGUUCAAUUUUUAGUUAAGUGCACAAAUUCUUCUAAAAUUCAGAUUGAAGUUUAUAUCGAGAAGGUAAAUCAAAAUUUUGAUUUAAAUUCAAGUUUUGAUUAGUUGAUAUUUAAAAAAUGUAUCAAAUAUACACGAAAGUCAAUUUUAUGUACCAAAUUUAUAGUUUGAUUUAAUUGACACGGUCAAACAUUAUUUUUUUGAAUAUUCAUCCACUCAUAUAAGACAUUUAUUGAAUAAAUUCUUUUGAAUCAAUCACAAAUUGUCACGUAAACAGUAAAUUAACAAUCUCGAUGAUGAUGCCAAGUGCAAUCAUCAUGUUCGUUGAAUCAAAUAGAAUUAACUUGAUCCAACUCAAUAUUAUUAUUUGCAUUAAAGUCCAAUUGAAUCCAAAAGUAGACUUAACUUAGCCCAAAAAUUAAAUAAGACUCAAAUCCACGUGGUUGGAUCUAAAGGUUCAAGUCAUGCAACCAACCAAGCCCAAACCCAAAAAGUCCAUCUACAACUUUAUAAAUAGAUGAGUUCACUUCAAUUGGAAGUAAAACAAUUUGUAAUUUGCACUCCAAAGGAGAGAAUUCUCUCAACAAUCAAAAGACUCAAAUCGACUUAAAAAACAUAAUGAUUCAACGUAACAUUCAGGUAAAUUUUGUAAAUCGCAUACGCAUUCAAUAUAAUUGUAAAUUGUGUACACAUUCAACCAAGAGAGAAUUAGAUUUGGAGAAGGAUUAGAAAUCGAACCACAUCUGCAACAAAUCUAUAUUAACACAGGUCUAACUCCACAAAACACAUUUUUCCAAUAACCACAUUUCUCCAAAAACCUGGCGAAUACUACCAAGAAAAUAUUCUUCUUUUUCCCCAAAGUUCAGAAAGAAGUAAUCAAUAUAGCGAGCAUGUUUGGGAAUGUCUAUCUGAUACAUUUUCUAAAGUUAUCUGGAUACUGCAUGUUUGAAACUCAAGGAUACAGUAAUACAAUCUAUAGAAUAGUUCUUAUCUAUCGUCAGUACACUAGGACAUAUAUACUAAAGAUAGACUUGAACGUUAUUAACAGCCAAAGAAUCAAAUACUUUACAAGCAGACACUUCAUCCAUAAAAUAUUACAACCCUCCUGGGCAUGGUGUUAGUGCAGAGUUAUCCGUGUAGAACUUUACAUCUUUUACUUUUUCCUUGUUCCAGAGACCAAAUGAGCAAAAAUUCUCUAUUUGUGUCUUAAAAAAGAAUGUCUAGACUAAGUUGGUACUAGAAUAUCACCUUCACAAAACUUCCAAGAACCAUCUUGUUGCUUCUUCACCAAAUAACGAACUUUAUAGUUGCUGCAUGUGACAAAGGAUCAAGGGAAGUUUCAAGUUACAAGAAAUAGAAGAGAUAAGAGUUAUGAAAUAUGAGUAUUCUUUCAUUCAAAUAGACCUAUAAAACAUAGAGAACAAUAGCGAAGAGUUAAACAUCUUUCUCUUUUAUGAACAUGUAAGAAAGUUACUAAUAAAUCAAAGUGUACAUCAGUAAAGCUAAUAGCCUAGUAUACUUGAUACCAAAAACUAUAUCAUUUAGUUGAUAAAAAGAACAAUAGCGAAAACCAAAAAUGGAUGCAACCCAUAUACUAUAAAAUAUUAAAACGAUUGUACAUGAAGAGGAAGCCUAAUCUUAUGCACUCCAAUUUUUUUCCAUUUUUCCUUACCAAAUUUAGUUUGACUCGUCUUGUAGUUUCUGUGGCUGAGAAGAAAAAAAACGAGAGUUUGAAGUAGUAGCAAUCUUUCUCAUUUUUUAGAUAUUCGGAUUAUCUAGCUACUUGCCAAGUUAUUUGGGGAAAAAAUCCACACUUAUAACCACAAGUGUUGCAAAAAAGAGUAUGAUUUAGCAAGUUUUAGUUAAAUAUAUUAUUGUGCUCAUAAUUUUACAAAAAGAGUUUGAAGUAGUUAAAAUUCCUUAAUUAUUUGAUUUUGUGCAGGAAAGUUGCCGAGUAUCCAAUUACUAUAACAUUCUCUAUUAUUAUUUGUUUGCCCCAUUAUUCUCCGCAAUUAGGACAAAAUUUCAUGUGUCAAAAUGGAAGGGAGCCCUAGAAGGCGGAUGCCUAUUUAAAGUAGUAAAGCAUUCUCAUUUGGGCAUCUCAAUCGCAUCAUAAAAAUUUUGCACUUCAUCUUUUUUUUUUUCUCUGAUUUCAAAGAAACCUAUUCAAAAGUGUGGAUUGUAUAGCUCAAUUUCACCCUUGAAAAAGGUGGAAGCGAGUUAGACUGGAUAAGGUUUAGGAGCUCGGUUUAAGUUCUUCAAGUGUUCAAUGUUCUUUAGUCAUACUCUAAAAUGAGAUUUUGUUUUCUUACUAAGUUUGGAGAAUCCAUUGGCGCAGUGAAGCCAACAUGGAGGAAUGGAUUGAUAUAGGACUUUUUGUAUGGUUGGUAGAAAAAUCUUUGUUCCAAUAUACUGAUUUUAGGCUUGUUGGUACCUAAAGAUGUUAAUGUUUAUUCUUUUUGUAUGUAAACAAUCUUUUAACAAAAAAAUUGUUAUUAGUCAAUGAGUGUACAAAUAUUACAAAGUGUAUUAUAGCAUGUAUGUAUUAAAGUGGCGACUCUUUGUUUUCAUAUGAGUGUGAUGUAUUAGAACAUUAUUGUCAUUGAAAUGGUUAAUGUAAUGGCAGAGCAGGGGAAAAAUGUAGUAAUUGAGGAAUAUACGACAUCGAAAAAAUGUCACAAUAUACGAAUUCGUGACAUUUUGUAAAUGCGUCAAUAACGAAACAAUGAUAUUUGCUUUUAUAAAAAACUGUCACGAUUGACAUAUCAUUGACAGAAAAAAAUGUCAUAAUAUAGGAAUUCGUGACAUUUUUGUAACUGUCGUCAAUAUCGAAAAGAUGACAUUUAUUUUUAUAAAAACUGUCAUGAUUGACAUAUCCUUAACAGAUAAAAAAUGUCAUAAUAAAUGAAUUCACAAACAUUUUUGUUUGUGACAGUUUUCUAAAACUGUCAUGGAAGGACUGUCUUUUGAGAGUUUACAUUAGUUUUCUUAGAACUCAAGAACACAGAUGUACCACCUAGAGAACAGAUCCUGUUCAAGUAAGGCCAUGUUCACAUUAGUUUUCUGUAAUUCCUUCAUACUUCAGUUCUGUUUUGUACCUUCUUUUGGCAUUUUUAGAUCGGUUUAGAUUUCUACUCUUUUCUUUGUUAUUGGUAAAAUUCCUGAUUAAAUUUCAACAAGUUGUUUCUUACUUCAAGUUUUUUUUCAUUCAACCAGUAAUUUACAUUCUAGCAAGUUAUUAUAGUAUUCUUGUAUUUUCAUCAUUGGACGUUUUAUUAGUAAAAUUGUUAUGGAAUUUUACUUAUCUCCAAUUUUGUUCUUCACUCCUUUCAUCAUGAGCUAAACUCUAAUUUUAAUUCAAAGAUGUGACUGUCCAAGAGGAAGCAGAGAAACCUAGUAUGUAAAAUGUGAUUUUUGCUCAACAAGUCAAAUAUCAUAUCAUGGUUUGUUUUUAUUGAUAUUUAACUUCAUAAUUAGUCUAUUGAUAUUUAACUUCAUAACUACUCUAGAUCGAUCAUCAAGUUUAGUAUACAAAAAUUAAAACUAAUACUGAAAAUGUUGAUAAAUUUAGUUUAAAAGAAAAAGAGCUUAGAAAUAAGGCUUUACUUUUGACCCUAGACAUAGAGCAAAACCUUUAUGACCAAAAGUAUCGUCAAUCAAGUUUAUACUUAACUAAAUCAUAGACAUACAGGUUUAUGGUUUAGCCUUCUAAAGAUACUUCACAGGAGACCUAAUAGAUUAUAUGUGUUCAAUCCAGCUGAGCUCACUAUGCAUUGAAAUCGAGUUAAAAGGAAUAAAUUGACUAUUAUGCUACAUGUACUUUCAAAGGGCCAUGAGCAUGUCUACAUCCCUUCUUUGUCAUUGAUAUUUUUCUUUUUAGAAACCUCUUCCGAAAUUAUUCUUUCUUUGGUUACCAAGUUCUCUUGAGGAAAUUCUUUAACCUUCAGAAUUUUGUUUAAAAUGUCUCUGACUUGAAAUAUUUCUAUUUGCUACUUGUUUGACAAUGUGCACUUGCACCGAUUAAAAACGUUUUCCUUUAAAAGUUUUCACUUUUGAGCCACACAUUUUCAGUCGAUUCCCAAUCAACUUGAGUGAAACCCUUUGAACAUUAUUUAAUAUAUUAACCCUGCCAUGGAGGAUCCCAAACAAAAAGUUUAACCUUCUUCAAAAUUUUGAUAUUCCAAAACAAGGGAAGAAUGGGAGAACUCAAAUAAGAAAAAGGUCACCAACAAUGAAACAAUAAGCUACAGAAAAAUUCGUCCCAAGGACUAGCACUACACAAGUGAAAGUCCCUUCUCUCUCCCUGAAAUAGCAAAAUCACAAGAAGGGCACGUAUCAUUAAACUCCCCAUCAGAGAGGGCCAAAUAACACUAGAGGAGAUAGACAAGAGCUCCCAAAAGAUCUAUCUCAAUAAAUAAAAUUUUGAACUGGACAAAUGUUGAAGAAGAAAAAGAGUGCAGAGGAGACUGUCCUCCAAUCACGUAUCCAUCCGAUACAAGUGUUCAACCCCUAGACCACUAAACAAUGAACCAAUUGAGAAAAGGGAACCCGUCAAAAUAGCUUUCUAGGGAUUUAUAGUAGUACCUCUCAAAACCCCCUUUGAAAGUCAUUCAAUGAGAUGGGGGCCGUAGUUGCUCAUAAUAAUCCUGUGCCAAAUAUUAUCCCUCAAGGAAACCACCCCAACCACUUGGAUAGCACGGCCCCAUUAAGUGCCCUACAUCUCGCAAUUUGCCAAGUUAGAACCCUUCCCUUACUGCCCUAUCCCAUAUUAUCUGGCAUAAGCCUCUCCAAGAACUUCCUAGAUAAUUUAGUUGCUAAUCUUACCAGGACCAAACAUGACUCAAAAGAUCUCUCAUACAUUCUAAAGAAUCUAUUAUUCCUCCCAUCAAAAGGUUCCACAAAAUUGCAAAUUUAUGACUUUUUCUUUUUAUAAUGGUAACUUAGUUCAAGUUUAGAAUGAUAAGUGCUGUGGGAAUUCUAUUAUAAAGUUCGAGUUUUCUUGUCUUUUCAAAGUGUUUUCAGUGCCUAAUUGCUCGGUUUCAGAACAUUGGGAUGCUGCAAAUUUUUCCCGGAUGAUUGUUACUCAUUGCAAUUUGAAGGAUUAUGAACUGGGAGAUUUUUCUCUCCAUUUAACCAAUCUGAAUGGCAUAAGUCCGAUUGUUAGGGAGAAUGAGAAUCUUUGAAAAAUUGCCCCUUGCAGGCUUUUAUUCAGUUAAUUCUACAAAUAAACGUUUUCCCAUACCCUCUUGCAAUUUGAAAGACAAAAAGGCCUAAGAAGGUCAAUGGUUUAGGGUGGAUUCUGCCAUAUAAAUGACAGAAUGCAGCAGAUGUUUAGAAAGGACGUCUUACUUUAUGUUGCUCCCCUAAAUUUAUGUUCUCUGUUUUCACUUUAGAUUAUCAAAAUCACACCUUUAAUUAAUCCUCUGGGUUAAAUUGUUGGUAUCUGUUCUUCCAACAGUUCAAUCCAGAGGUACAUUUAUUAAUCAAUGCUACUUUUUUUUAUAAGAGUUAAUCAAUGCUAUUAAAACCAUUAGGUUUCUAUUUGCUAUUUCCUGUUGUUUUUCUAAAAGGUAAGUUUGUUUUCGUAUGUUUCCACUAUAUCAAUGAAAAUUUUGUUUAUCAUUAGAAAUGGGAAAAACUGUAUAUAAACACAACUAAUUUAUUCCAGUUACCUAUAAUAGCUCGGGUUCUUUGGUUCAGCUUCAUUGACGAGCUCAGCCGCUUCCUCUAAAUGAACCUCAAUUUCUAAUGCCAUAGCUCCAAACUUAUCUGAUAAAAGUUCAGCUCGUAGGACAGACAAUUGAAGCAAAACAAAUUUCCAAUAGCAGGACUUAGCUUUUGCAGCAUCAGCUAGAGCUUCCCACUGUAAACCAAAAAGAAACAAUAUAAUAUUAAACUUCCAUCAAUCCAAAAGAUAAAAGCCAAUAAAUUAGUUACUUUUCCACAUGCAUGCAGAUGUUAUUUUCAUUAAUAAAGCUUAAUAAAUAUAUAAUUAAUUUUUAAACAUAAAAGAUUCUUUUUAUGGGUGAAGAACAUGGAGGAAGAAUGCCAUCUACAACAGAGCAUAUUCUCUCUAUCUGCAAACGCUAAGGAAGCACAAACUACCCAGCUUGUAAAAUGGGUUUGGAGAUUCCUUCUCGAAUGUGAAGUUCAAUGAUUACAAAGUUGAACAGAGAAAAUAUGAGAACAAAGUAAUGACAGUUCACUAAAAGGGACCAAAAGAUUUUUUUUAAAAAAAAUUAUAAUGAAAGUUGUGUUUCUAGUUUAAAAAACAAUAUUAAUAAUAAACCAAAAGAACGGGAAGAGCUGGGAAUUCAUUUGAAAAUUGGAACUAGAAGCAAAGGUUGAAGGCUUUGACUAGGUUCAAGCAAAGAGAUGGAAGAUGUAUUUACUUUGGAGAGGAUUUGCGGUUAGGUCCCAAAAGGAAUGUUUUUAAGGCUUUAGUAGAUGGUUUUGACUAAGAAUCUCUUCAUUGGUAGUUGUUGAGGGGAAGGUGUUCGGAAGUAAGGAGUGACAAAAAAUGGAACGAAGAUAAAUUUAGACGUCUAACAAUAUUUCCAUUUAGGUGUCUAAUAAUAUUUCCCCAAAGAUAAACUUUCUUGGUUUACAUUUUUUGAGAAAUAGAUUCAUCUGAUGACAUUCUUUGUUUCAUGUUCUUAUCUUUUGAAGACGUCCCAAAAUUCUAUAUAGACGUUGAAAAUAAAAGUUGUAGAUUCUCUUUGACGUCUUCUAAUUUCUUCACUUACACAGUUUAUUUUUGGCAGAUAUUUAGUACUUAUUUCGUUGUUAGAUGACUUCAACGGUUGCUAAUAGUCUUUUUAGUUCCUUUUAUACAUAUGUACUUAGUAAAGUUUCAGCUUCUCAUUUACAAAAAAUAUUGAUCCUAGUUUGUGAUGAAAACAGCUUGAACUUCAAUGAACUUUACCUGGAAAAGCAUUGUUCCAUCAAGAAUUUUAGCAAGUUUAUGGAUUUGAUAGUUAGGUCCCAAAGCUUCAGCUUUAAUCGUUUGCCAUUGAUUCACAAGGGCUUCAGCUUCUUCAACCGACAUUAGGUUCUGAUUUGAAGCUGUAAUUGCAGAUGACAGUAGCAUAUCACUUGUGCCUGCUAAGUUCCUGCCCUUCCUCAUUAGCUUUGACAAAAGCCUUUGAAGACUACUACUAAGAUUUGAAUUGUUCUUCGUAUUUGGAGUUGCUAUAACAUUAUCUACAGACAGACCCUCAUCGCUGAAAACAGAGCUUGUAUUCAGGCUUGCUUUUUGCGGGGUCCAUGUAGGAAAAGGUUUCAUCUUUAUCAUCCUGCUCAUUAGAUUGAAGGAAGCAAAACUAAUACUCCCAACAACAACAAGAACUUUCAUGUUAUCAACAAGACUGCUCCUGGACAACCACAAUUCUGAAAUUUUCCAUUUCUUUAUGCGAAGGUCCCUUUUCAAUUGAACUGAUGAUGAUUUUGCAUCAGUUUGGUUUUUCUCCAUUCCCAAUUGACUUGGCAAGUUAGUAGGAGUUAACCGUCUAACAAUAUUCCCAAGAUUUUGGGAUGAAUUUGAAUUUGGGAAGGAGUUCUCAACCUCCCUCCAAUGUGAUAUAGAGGAAGUGGAUAUGGGCUUGUUAUUUGUGUGAACUAUAAUCUGCUGAGAAUGGUUAAUUUUCUUCUUUGCAUCCAUUUUCUUCUCGCCGUGGAGAAAACUAACCUGAACAAACAUUGAAACAAAUAAAUAAAAAUAAUGUUGCCACUACUAAGUCCAUUAUAUAUUUUAUGUCUAAAAGCGAUCUCAAAUCUGAUCAAUUGAUAUGAAUCUCACCAGUGUCAGGGAGCAAUCCCUCGUAUCUUUAAAGACACCAAGUAUAGUAUCCUUCAACCAUAUUUCCUGCUCAAGUUAAACAGGCUUUCAGAUAUAAAAAGAGACAUCAGGAAAAGCGGAAUUUAAACUAAACAAGUAUAUAAAGUGCAUAUUGUUGGAAAAGUGAAAGCCACCCAAGCUACGUAUAUUUUAUAUUUUCAUAUUCCUGCAAAUAUUAAAUAUUAUGUCAAAAAAAAUUCAAAGUAAAAAGUAUCACAACCGAGACGAAAUUUGAAACAAAAGAUUCGUAAAAUCAGCUUAACCAUAGUCCAAAAAGAGAUUUUGGAUGUAUGUGAUAGAACACUGAUAGAGACGUUCUUUAUUAAAUUGGUAAAAUGAAAUUCAGUACAAUAUCAGAUUGAUAGGAUAUCAAUCUGGAAACGAAAUUAUAAUAACAAGAAGAAAAGAAAUCCCUCUCUCUGUUGUCCUUACUCUCAGGAUGAACAGCCCGACUCAACAAAAUGGAUCCCCCCCUUCACAGUCACUCUCCCAGGCUAUAUAACCACCCUCUUAAUUCAAAGUAACUGUGGGCCCCAGUGUUAUCAUUCACACUCCCCAUCUCACGUGCCUUUUCUCUCUUAUUUCUCCUACUAUAUUGUAAUACUAUUGGAAGUCUAACAGUAUGGUCAUAGACAUUAACAAACUAUUGAGUAUUUUCAAAACCACAGAAACAUAUCAAACAACAAAUUUCAAAAUUUUAAGAAAUAUAUACUUAAUCUAAAAUGUCAAAAUCAAUAGUAUUGUAUCUGUUAUAGUAUAUCUGCAAAUAGGAGUUUAUUAGUCUACGAUCCUUUAUAAGUUUUUUUAAGGGAAAGCGGAACUUUUCAUUGAGGACAUGAAAAAUUACAUAAUUAGUAACAGAAGCCACAAAGACUAAAAGACAACAGUCACAACGCACAAACUCUUAAAAAGACUAGAUAACUGACUAACAAAACCUCUCAUACUAAAUAGGGUGUCGAUAUAUGUCUAUAUUUAUCUUCACAGAAUAUACCCUCUGUUCCUUUUUUCUUUUUCUUCUAAGCAUCCUGUCUGUUAGAAUUAAAUGGACAAAAGGAGAAUUUACCAACAAUUGGCAUGUGUCCUCUGCAUUCUUUUUCUUCAUUGCUAAACUUGACAAUCGGCUAGGCAUAUCCGGUUUUGAAUUCAAAGCAGACUGUUGAAGCUUUUCAGAAACCUCAGAAUCACUGCACUGGAAACAUAAUAGCAAGAAUAAGAAUUAACACUAGAUAUCAAAUUUUAGUAGUUUAAGAUGGGUUAAGAUCAAGAAAUUAGAUUAUCACGUCUGGGCACAUAUAUGAUAAUAACAACAAUCUACCUGACCAAGAAGAAAAUUGCAAAAAGCCUCCUCCAGUUUCAGAUCAACACCUUCUGAUGCUAUCAGACAUUCACAUAUAGUUUUUGCCUUUUCAAUCUACAAAAGAAUAGUAUAUGACAUAGCAUUACUUAAAGUAAACAUAGCGAUCUGCUCUUAUGUUUUUAGUGAUUGUUAUUCAAUCAUCUUCAAAAAUAUUUUGAGCAAGGCAUGCAUGUGUACCAAGAAACAAUUUUUUUUCUAUUAUGCAAUAGCAUCAGCUGCAAAAGUGAAAUUACCAACUCUGGAUGCCUGCUUGAAAACCCAAGCGCAAGAUGAGCUUUAAAAGCCAACAAAAAGCAAUAAAAAUCAACCACGACCCUUUGAUUCUGUGACUCGAUUGAUUUUUUAUUCUUUCUUAUGAGAGCUAAUUCAUGCCAUGGAAGAAGAUCAACCACUUCUGCAGCCAUUAGCCUACCAAGAGCUUGGCUUAAAAAGCACGGCCAAUCCUGAACUUGGCAUGAUGUUUCAACGCCAAGACCUUGUCUCAGCAAUUCACGUAAUGCUGCAAUUGCUCCUGCUCUCCGUUCAGUAUUCAUGGGUAAGUUAGGCAGAGCCAGCAACUCCAAUGUGCAAGCAGGUGCAAGUUCCUCCAAAGAUUCUUCAAUCUAAAACCAGGGGCAGCAAAAAGUACUCAAUUGGUUGUUCUUUUUCCAGAAAAAUAUGUUAACUGAAUGAUAAAACAGAUCAAAAUUCCAUAAAAUUUAGAAUAUGCAACAUUUUAAUAAUGAAGUAAAAAAUCAUAAUAUAGAGGGGGAAAAUAAACUUGGAUGGCAUAAAGAAACCAAAAAGGAAAAAACAUGUCAUCUCUAAAUUGUUUGACAUCCCAAAUGUCUGACAAAUUCCAUGGCUACUUGUUUCCAUGCUUAUAAAUUUUAUUGCUCCAAGUUUUUUUUUUUUACAUAUCUAGGUAUCGAGCCCCAUCCCACUAAUCCUAGAGAACCUUUUGCCUGUCCAGAGAUAUUAUUGCUCCAGCUAUUGGACUUCGUAAAUGUUCACUAAUUUCACAAAAAAAAGCCUGUUUCUUCUAAAAAAUAUUCUAGAUGUUAUAUAUACAAAUAAGCCCCCAAGGAGGAAAGGAAAUAUACUACCAUAAAGAAAAGGAAGUCGUCGGGCAAUUCUAGGUUAAAGACUCCACAUGCAUGAUAGAUAGAGCGGUAAAAAUGCCUAAUUAAUUAUCAGCUUGAAAAAUUGACACACAAAAGAAGUGGGCCUUUCACCUGAGAUAACAAUUUUAGUUUUCUGAGAGAUGUUUGACUUCUUAGAAGAUAUUGGGCACGUGCAAGAGCUUCAAAACCUUGAGAUACCAUGUUCUUCUCAAAACCAAGUUUUGCAAUUGCACACUUCAAGAAAGCACCUAAUAUAAGAAUAGGAUAUAUAACAAUACUAAAAUAAGAACAGGGUGCUUGAAGAGUCUCGGCCUAAACAUACCUCAGCUAAUACCAUGGAUAGCAGUAUGUCAUGCAUGUAAGGCUUAGCCAUUGGACAUUGGACAACUGUCUGUCCAAUGUCAAGCACCAUUUUUGCUUCGCCAACCUAAAAAAUUGGGAGGGGAAGGGAAAUUAGGAUACUCAUCUUUCCUUUGGAACCCUUUGCAAUUCAACUCACGCCCAAAGGAAAAAAAAAAAUAAGAAGAUUUUAUUUUCUAGAUAAAACAACUUUUAUUGAGAAAAAAUUAGAGAAAGUUAUUCAAAUAGAAUGAGCCCUGCAGACUAAAGUUACUAAGAAGUGGCUCACAUUUUGUAAAUUUCAACCAAUGCCAGCAUAAGAAAUAUUAACAAUUAAACAGUGGUUGCAUAUUUUAUAAACAAGAGAAUCAAACUUGAUGGGUGAAAACAUAAUUUCUCAACAAUGCACCCUAUAAUUUAACAGACUGAUCAGAGUGAUAUAAGGAUAAUUUAGGGAUGUUAAUGAGGUAAUAAGGGUACCAUUAUUAAUCAGUUAAGAAAGUUGUGGUGAACUGUUAUAAAUAGAGUGAGUGGAAAAUGAUGAGGUAUUUAUUGAUCAAGUUGGUCAAGGCUUGAGUGAUUUCAGGAGAGGGAAGAUCCAACAACUACACGAUAAAACAUAAAAGGUAAAGAACUAUGGUUUUUUAGAUGAAAAACUACACUUCUAUUGAAAAAAAAUGUAAGAAAAACAUAGGGAAUAUUACACCAAAAAGGGGCAUCCAAUCAUGUCAAAUGACCUAAAGUAAUUGCACAUGAUAAGCCCUAGAUCCUCCCUCUCUUGAGUGAUCUCUUAAAACCACUCAAGCUUAAACCCACUAAAUAAAUGCCUACAUUCAUUCUUUCCACCUCGUCUAUAUAUAUCAAAUCACAUUAACAACUUCCCUAAUUAAUUAAUUAAUCGUAUACCUUGAAUACCCUAGGUCCCUAGAAACAUCCCAAACUAUAUCCUAGUAGCAAUCCUGUAGCCAACUAAACUAGAUCUGAAUGCAUACACUGAUACACAUAUUAACUUUUUCCUUUUCAAAAGGAAAUAAGACUUUUCAUUAAGUAUUAAAUAUGAAAUAUGAAAUAUUGACAAAAAAAAACCGUAAAAUAACUUGUAUUGCUCAAGAACGUGAGUUUACAAUGAAUUUUGAACUUACCUCUUGAAGAAGGCAAAGAGCACCUGGCAACCAAGCCCAAGGAAUUCGAAUGGAAGACUUCGGUAGGAUGUUUUCCUUCAUGUUACCAGCAUAAUGUGGUUCAAAUAGAAGUUUAUCUCUCACAUCCAUUAAAAGAUCCUGAAAAAUAUCCCAUAAUCAAAUUAUAUAAAUGUGAAGAAAUACAUGUUUCUCCUGUUCUAUAAAGUGACAACGAACAACUUAAUAUGACCCCUCAAUUGUAAGAGGAUUACAGGUGAAAAUAAAUAGCUAUCAAGGAAGAAAAAUGUUGGUCAUGACGUAGGCAUCAGAGACUUCCAAACUACAUGUUAUUGGUUUUCUUUUUAAAUUAGUCUGUUUUCAGUUGGUUAAGAGUUUUUAGUUUAAAUUUAAUACCUGGUAUUUCAUCUAGAUGCACUCUGAUGACCCUUAAUUUGAGAUGUUAUUAAGUUUUGGAUGAAUCUAACAAAGGGCAUAUACAACUAUUUAUAGGCCACAGCCGAAGCUAACAAACAGCCAAAGAUGUAACUAACUAAAACAUAUAAGAUAAGCUAACAAACAAAUGGAUUUUAUAAAAAUUUCGAGUAAUCCUUAAUAAGAUUUGUUUACGAUCAUAUGAAACUGCUAGCCAUGAUAACAAGACAAGAUAGUUUUUCAAACCUAAACCACAAUCUUGGCCACACAAACCUGGCGAGAUGCAAUAGCAUCAGUGGAGUAACCUUCUUCAAUUUCAACAUUUCUUAAUUCCAUCACUGAUUUAACAAUCUCAUCUUUUUCAGAUUGAUCUGGGACACCAAUAAGCUGCACAAUAAACAUUUGUAUCAUAUAACUCCGAAAACUACAAUUACAGCCCAGCUACAAAAAGAUCAAAGAAUGUAUCCAUUACCACCACCAUCCACCGACGGUAACUGCACAAUCUAUCUUAAAGAAAUAAUAAAAAAAAAAAAAAAAAAAAUCAACGUGACAAAUUGAUGAGAUAGCAAAAAUGUACCAAGUCCCUUACAGUUAGGUUUUCAAACAAACAACGUCAUCAAUUCAGGAAAGAAAAAAGAAGGCAGUAAACCACACUAAUAAACCUCAAAAACCGUAGCAAAUCAUCAAUGCAAAAUAAUGAGUGAAAUCCUUAACCAAAAAGAGAACAGAGAUGGGUAGUAGAGAAUCACCUGGUAACAAGUAACGUGGAUUUCAAGUGUGGCAGCGGCGCCAUUGGGCCCUUUGUCGUGAAUGGUGGGGUUACGAGUGUGGGAGCUGGUAGUAGAGUCAAUCCCGACAGCAUUCAUUCUCCAAUUCGAAGAACUGUGGGGAGUGAUAAGAAAAUCAGCCGCCUGCCUCGGAAGCGAGCCAAUGAAAAGCCCAUUUCCGCCCCGCAUUCCGCCGGAGCUGGAAGGGGGUGUCAUUCCAGAAAAACCCUUGUAAAUCUUGGUAUGUAGGUGAAACCCAUUGUUGGAUUUGUUGAAAUGAAACAAGCAAAGAAAGCAAAAGGAGGAAGGAAUUGUGGGCAAGGGGUAGGAUGAUAAAGCCAUAUCUCAAUCUGCAUUUGUCAUUCGACAAAAACAAAGCUUAGAAAUGAAUCGAAGUUCAUAAUUAUGCAGUUGAAUGUGUUCUUAAGGUGAAGAUUGUAAGAAGCAAUUGCCUUUUGCAUCAAGUAGGAAUAGAUAAAAGCCCCAACACUCCAUAGUAUUUGCUUUACUUGUUCUUGACUGCCAAAUUCAUUUUUCUCUUUGCUGCAAUAACAAGACUCGCCUUAUGCCACCAUUGUAUCUCCUUUUUCUUCUUUUUCCUUUGUUCUUUUCUUCUUUUGACGUUUACCUUUUUUCUCUCUAAUAAUUUGUUGUUAAAAUACGUGGAUUUUUUAACGGUUAUUAAUAGCUUUUCUUUUCAUUUUAGUCUUAAUAUACGUUGCUUUUGUAUAUUUUAAUAUUUAAAAUAUUUAAUUUAAAAAUAUAGCCAAAUUUUAUUAUGAAUAGAUAUAAACUAUAAAUAGUCUAUUUCAAUAACAUUUUAUUAUAUUUUAAAUAAUUUAUCUUUAAUGUAGAGAAAUUUGGAUUAAUAUUGAUCUUUUUAAAAGAGAUAGAGAAACCUCUCCUAUGUGUAUAUCUCUCUUCUACGUCAUAGGUUCGACCCACGGUUUAACCAUGACCUAUACUCUCCCAUAAAAACUAUCGUUUUCUUAAUUUUCACUUCUUAAGCACCAUUUUUCUUCUACUUUCUUAUUUUUUUAAUUUGUAACUAAUAAAUGUUUAGCGAAUUUUUAAAUUCUAGUUCUGAUUGGUAUUCAUGUGAAUCUAAUACCUCUACAGAUGCUUCAUAGUAUAGAUAUUCGUUAUGUUCUUCAUUGCCAUGUCUAGGUCUGUGUAUGAAGUUGAUGGAUUGACAUCCAUGUAUAAAGGAAAUGAACCGACUCUUGUAUCAAAAUAUCAUGUACAAGCCUCUAAAUCAUAAUACCCCUAGGUCAAAUGUCGGCAUCAUUGUCAUCGAACUACCAUAACUAGUCUAACUCUGGGUCUGUAUCAUAGGAUGCAAUUCUUUCAGAUUAUGGUAAAUCUCAUCUAGUUCAACUUCUUCCACUCGAACAUGUCCUCUACGAACCGAUGGAGGUACAAUGUAAUGUAUCUCCUCCAUGUACCUCUCAUUAUUAUUGGAUAUAUCAAGAAUAUGUUGUUGCACAUCUGCAACAUCAUGAAGACUAAUGUUGUUCGAUAUCUGUGAAUUGAAAAAAAAAAAUUAGAAAACCACCCCUAGGAAUCUGCAGACUCCUCUACAACGUCAAAUGCAAGUGGGAGAAGAUCAACAGAUGUGUGGCUAUUAGCAACUUGCCUUGAUAUUUACCAUAUAAGUGAGUGUCAUCUAUUUGAAUAAUCGAUCAACAUUUGCUAAAGGCUUCUAUACAAGGACCAAAUGCCCAAAAUACAAAAGUAAGAAUAACAUGUACUCUCCAUUCCUUGCAUGUUCUAGGAUUAGCCACGAUCUUCAUAUACCAUCUAUGCAAUUGGUUUAGCGUUAGGGUUAAUAAAAUGAGUGUGGUCUUCCAUGAACAUGUUAAAAUUCAAGUUUAUAUCCUAGCUCACCCUACUCACAUUAACAUAUAGAUACACCAUGUUCGGGAUUGGUAUUGCAAUUGAAAACAUAGUUUUCAUUGCAUGUUCAUUUGGUAAAGAGAAUCACAUAAAUUUUAUUGGUCUCGAUGAAGUUAGAUUUGGAUGCUUAUAUAUAGUUUAAUUUCUAUAUGGUUUGUGCGUGUAUCUAUACCAACUAAUGAUCCUAUAUAGUUUUAGUGAAUUGUUCAAAGACAAUUUCACGGUUCACAUUGAUGCUAAAAUCUCUAGAAACUGGUUGGUCAUAAUCGACUCUAUCAACACCAUCAAUGAUAUUACCAUUCAUAAACAACAAGAGUUAUUUUAUAAAAAAGAUAUUGUAUAUAUUAUAAAAUGUAUAUAUAUAUAUAUAUAAAAAGAUUUGUUUUAUAUAUGAUGGUUAAAAAUCAUUCAGCAUGAUUAUAAUAAAUAAAUAAAUAAAUAAAAUCAUGCACUGAAUUAUGUUAUUAUUAUUUUAAAUUAUAGUUUUUAUUCCAUUCAAUGUUUAAUGAAUUACAAUUAUAUCAUUACAAUAUUACACUAUGCAACAAAACUAAUUAAUUAAUUUUGUAACUAUAAUAAUUUUUUUUUUCUCUUUUAGUAUAUUAAUUUAUCUUAUAUGUAUAAUGGUUAAAGAUCUUUUAGAACAAUCUAAGAGAUUACCAAUAAAUUUCUUUUUUAGAAAGAAAAAAAACACAAAAUAUUCAAGAAUAAAAAAUAAAUUACGUGCAUAUUAGUUUAAAGUAAUUAAAUAAUAAGACCAAAUAAAAUAAAUCCUAAGCAAUUAAAUAAUACUUUUAACAAAAUAUUCAAAUAUUUCCAAUUUUAGAAAUAAAUAUAUGCAUGCAUUGCACACCUAAACACUACUUGGCUCAUGUGUUUAUCGUGUGUGGUAGUAUACGCUAACAUGUUGUCCAACAUGCAAAUGGUCAUGGGACUCGGUACAUGACUUGAAAGAAGUCAUGUAUCAGGUACAUGACUUCGUCCACCAUCCAUCUUUAUAGGAAAUUGUGUUGAGCCAACAAUGCACAAUCCUUUGAAAUAGCUAAGCUAUUAAUGUUAUUGCAAAUUUGGGCAUAUGAUAGAUUUUUUAUUGUAGCACCACAAGUUGCAUUACAGGUUCCAGUUACGACCACUGAGUUGCAGGUAUUGUUUUUUUUUUUUUAUAUAUCUAAUAAUUAGAUAUUUGCACUUCUUAUAACUUAUUGUUAUUAUUGUUUUUUACACAUGAGAUGGAGUGUUGUUCUACUUACAUCUAAACAAUCAACGAAUAUGUUGUUAACAUAUCAAUAGAUAUUUGAUCGACUUAUGCACACCUUGGGUAGAAAAAUAUUAUACCAAUGAAUACUACUUAUUUUUUGUUGUCUACUGAUAACCGAUAGAAAUACAAGUUAUUAUGGCCUUUUAGAUAGAAUGAUCGGACCAAAAUGCAUAGAAAGUGUAUCAAAACACGUUACUUAUGUUGUACAUGCAUAAAUAUUUAGAAAUACACUUAACAUAAGCAUUCAUGCUUGUUUCACCCCGUUUUUAGUGUUUUUAUGUAGGCUAAAGAACAAAAGAAUAAGCUAGUGAAUUGUCGAGGAACUCGAGCAGAGACUAGGUGAGAAGACCACAUCAAAACGUGAGAAGAGAUUCACUAGAAGAUAAAAGUGGUAGAUGAAAUUGAUGUGGCUUGAAGAGAGAAGCAACUUUCAGUGGUAACAUGCUCAAAAGAUUAAAAUUUUCGCCUAAAUCUGCCUAUAAAAAGGAACUUCAUCCUUACCGAAAGAGAGCGACGUCUAAAUGGAACACCAUUUGUACACCUGAAGAGGUGGGCAAAACCCUAGAGAGUUGGUGGAAAGGCAGCCUUUCCUAAUCUAUUAAGCACUUCUUCAUCUUCUCCAAUUAGUUCAUGAGUGAAAACUUGAGGUAUGAGUGAACAAGAUCUCAUUCUCCAUCUCCCCUAACUUGUAGUGUCAUUUCUUAUUCUUUUUAUUUUUGUAUUUCUUUACAUUGUAUUUGUUCAUAUUGUACAGUGGUCGAAGGUCGUCAUUCUUUAGUACAAUAUAUAUUUGUACUAUUUUAAUUCAUCAAUGUCUCUACUUUUCAUUGACUUUGUUAUUCGUAGUUUAGGUCUAUGAUAAGUUCUUGAUAGGAAGAUUAGUUUAUAAUUCUUAUCGCAUUAGCUGAGCUAUUUUCAUUACUUGGCCAGUGUAUAUCACUAACGACUCGAGAGGACAAGUAACAAGAAUAUAGCUAACGCACAUGAGGAGGAGUUUGGAGACAAAUUCAUCUUGGCGGGAUGACUUCCAUCUUUUGUGUCCCAAAAGGAGAACAAGUGUAGGUACUAAGCGUUGAGAGGUUGUCACCCUUAAACGUGAAGCUGUAUAAGUCUUAUAAGUAAACUCUUCUAGAUAUACCAUGUUUAGGCUUAGUCAUUCGGAUCUCGAGUAAACUCAUUCAAUGUAGAUGAUGAUAGAGUAAGGAUAUGUUGCAUAGGGAGAUCAGGAUAAUACUUAGUUUGUAAUUCAAAAUUUUAGUUCAUAUGAACUUCAAUUUUAAAUAUAAUAUUAGACGAAAAUGCAUUCUUGUUUGUAUUAAAAUCAUAGUCAUAUAUCACAAACUUAAGGGAAAAAAUAACCCUUAAAGAACCAAGUCAUCUAAAGAUGUACAAUCAAAAUGUGGUGCAUCAAAACAAAAUUUUGAAACGAAGAAAAUAAAAAACGUCAAUGUUGGAAUUUCACUUACAUAACAAGUGGAAAUACUCAUCAUUGUAGAUCAACUAUGAUGUUUCCUUUUGCAUUAUUUCUUUUUGUGUCCAAAUUUCAAAUCUAAAAGUAUCACAUAAAUUUCAAACAAUAGGUUAAUUUAGGAAAUUAAAUUUGUUUUAAGAAAGUUUCUUUAAUCCAGUCACAAUCCACGUGGCUAAAGACUAAGUCAAACUGGUCAAAAUGUUUGUGACUGGAUUAAUAGAUGUCGUACCGAAAACAAGAUUUCCUUCCAAGCUAAACUACUCUAUCUUUUACAAUAGUUUGUACACUAACCCCAUUUGUGUAUUUUCUUAACCCCAUCUAUGUAUUUUCUUUUCUAACUACCUAAUUUUUUAUUAGCUGUCCAAAAUCAUAAAAAAAUAAAGAUAGUGAUAUGUGAAAAUGGAAAGAAAAAAGAAAAGAAAAAAAACAAACUGCAAUAUUGUUGUUAAUACUCACUAAUUGAUUGUUUUAUGUGGUGUAAAUAAUUUUUUUUUUUGUCUAUUUUUAAAUACUUAUUUAAUAAAAAAAUUCGAAAAUGCAUUUAUUGUAACUUAUUUUUCUUCCAUUUUUCAAUUUGGAGAGAUAAAACACAUUAUUUUAUUUUCAAUUUCACCGCAACUCUUCACUUUCAUAUUUGAUUUUUAAUAAUUUACCUUUAUUUGUUUUGAGUAUUAUUUGUUUUAUUAUAAGAUAUUCCAUUGUUUAAUUGAUAUAGUAUACCACAUAUUCUAAUUUGUAAACGUAGGUAUUUGAGACGAUAAUAUACAACUCGAUGUUUUGAUAUGUAUGUCAAUAUAAUUAAGAGUGUAUAUUACAAUAUACAAAAUUAAAAUGAAACACUAAUGGACGUGACCUUUGCUGGAGGAGAGAUAAUCACAAUUAUAUAUAUAUACACACAACACAUUGUGUGUGGAACCGACUAGUGGAAAAACAAAGUCUCAAGCCUUUCUUUAUAAAACAAAAAAAAAAUGAAAUGUUCAAGACAUUAGUGUAAUAUAGCCUUUUUAAAGACCUUGUGUUGAAACCCCUACAAAAUUUUACUUCAAUGUCAAUCCCUUCUAAGUCUAUUUCCAUAACCUACCCCAUUCGACCGCCAUAUUUGGAAGAAAACUAAGCUAAUUCUUUACUAAAAUGAAUACACAGAUGAGAUAUUAGAAGAUAACUUGAUACAUAUAUGAACAAGUUGCAGCAAUAUUCACAAAUUGCGAUUCUAAGGAUAGAUGAAACAACUUAGUGAUCACAAAACUAACUCGACACUUACAAACUACAGAAGCUAUGUAACAAAGGCUACACCAGCUAGAUUCUUUGCAUUUGCCCUAACUUGGUUACAACUACAAGAAAUUACAUCCACAAUUUGGAGAGUACCUUUCAAACUACUCGUCUGAACCAGAGGCUUCUCUUCUUUCUGAAGAUUCAUCAACAUCCUGCAACUCGUCCUCACUGAACAUGCUUCCAUCACUUGAAUCGGAAAGCAGCCCGACAUCGUCAUCGUCAGUAAACACCUCCAUCUUGCGUCUCUUCCUAAUAUCCUUUAUACCUUUUCCUUGAAGAGCUAAUCUUCGUUUUCGAGUGUUCCUCUUGCGUUUUGGAAACUCUUCUUUCUGAGACUCAAGGCUUUUACCUUCUGUAGCCUUCACUGUUCUCCCUUUACCAUAUUCACUAUCCUCGGAUUCUUCAACAUCAAAUUUGCGCCUUUUCCUGCUUGAAUUUGUCUGGCAUAGAAAUAUGUUUCAAAAUUAGGUUAUCCCUAUUAAAAAAAUAUGGCAGCCAGCUGGAGUGGUUAACCCAACACAACUUUCUUUUUUGAAAGGCAACCGAAUGAAACACAAACGAUUGUUUUCCAAAUAUAAGAUCAUAAAAGCUUCCCCGUUUUAUAAAUUAAAAUCCUAACUAGACGCCCAUUGUAUUGUAUAAGCCAAUAUCAAUUCCCAAAGCAGGCUGAUUUUCAUGCAAACCAUGUCAAGGAUCUUGUGAUAUCUUAAGGGGUAUCUUAUAGUUAUUAUUAUCAUCACUAUUGUGCGUAACAGGGAAACCCGUGUAUAGCUUAUGUUACUUGCUCCUUGUUAAUCUCAUGAAAUUACAAUUUACAAUCUCAUCUUACACUAUAUGAAGAUUAAAUGCUAAAGAGAAGUGACAAGGAAGCAAAAUUACAACAACUAGAAUUUCCCAUUCAUUUCAAAGAUAUAGUUUCACAAACUUAAUUUCAACAUUUUUAUUUUAAAUACAAUUUGAACAUAAUGUUAGCACUUACAAAUUCUGAGGUCUCGUAGGUAUUCAAAAAGUUUUUCCUUUUGGAUCUCUGUGAACCACCUAAAUCACAAUUGAUCGACCUCCAAUGUAAAAGUAGAAUAAAGAAAAAAAUUAGCAAAAACAUCCUUGAAGUCUUUUGGUAACUUGGACUUACAAAGUUGAGUCGAUAUUUGGUACAUAGAUUUUUUACAUGUUUCAAACAGCGAGUAAGCUAAUCUCACAUAAACCAUCCCUCCCUGUUUAUGGACUCAACUUUUACACUAACAUGCUAACAUUCACAAUUUUCACAACAUACGAAACAAUUUGGUUGAGGAGUGAAAUGGAAAGGAGGAAGGAAAUGCUUUUUUUAAAGUCCACGCCUGCCCAAGGGCCCAGACUUUGAAGAUGUCAAACGUUUUCUUAUUAAGCUCACCACUGCCACAUGCAACCUAGGUAAGUGUUACUCAAAAACCUCAAGCCUUAGCUAAUAUGGCCACAUGUUAAGGCCAAAUACUCCUGCCCAUAAAGAAUUAGAAACCAAGGGCACAGUUGUACAACCUAUAGAACAGAUCUUGUUCAAGUAAGAAUGUAAGAUCAUCCGGCCUAUAAAGAAUUACAAAGUGAAUAGCAACUAAAUCAAAGGAUGUUUAACUAAAUUACGAAACAAAGAGUAAAGGUCGAACUGUGAGCAACUACCACAAGAACUCAACCUGUGUGGAUCCUAUCCUCUGGAAGUGUAAAUUUGCAUGAUCUGCAUGGAGUUAUAGUUUUAAGGGUUAGGCAUCCAUAGGGAAGAGUGAUAUGACUGUGAGGUUUCUCUUCCAUCUUUAGAGGAUAUAUCUUUAGAGCCAAAAACCAAAACUCCCUUGAUUAAAGAAACUUCCAUAUUUGAUGUUGCUGAUACUGACUGACUAAAAAUCAGACCCGAAUGAGACUUUGGCUUUUGAUUGGGAUGAGAGAAUGGAGCUAGCAACCAAGCACAAUAUUCCCGAUAUCCACUUCAAGAGUUGAAGUUCAAAGCAAAUUACUCUAACCAAUUAUGGUUACUGUUUGUCUACUCCUUUGUUGCAAAUAUAAUGAAUGUUUGGAAGUGAUUAUGAAAUUGUGGAGAUCACUUUUGUCAUGCUCAAAAUCAUUUUGAAACAGGUCUUUGAUCACUCAAAAGUAUUUCAGUGUUUAAUUUCACACUUUUAAACACAUUUUUCAUACUAAUAAAAUUGAUUUUGAAUAAUCAAAAGCAUUUUUCAAGUGAUUUUGACCAUUUUAAGGAUCACUCCCAAACAUGCUAGAAGAGGAAACGUUGCAUUUAAAUUCAGAUUCACUCUUAAUUAUACAAGAUAACUUGGGAUACCAUUCUGAUCAUGUAUGCCAUUUGCAUUUAACGAGGUAGUUGAGGGAAUAACUACAGAUUCAACAUUCAAUCAAAACCCUAGCACUUCCAUUAGUUCUGCCAACCUUAUUGAAUCGGCGGAAUUUGAAAAGUUACCAAUAGAAAGAUCGUUAUUGACAACACUUGGUAGUUCGAGAGAGGAAAUAUCGCUGAAUCUGAGGUCAAAAUUAUCAAUCUCCUCAUCUUUAAUUUGAUUGAAGGCAGGAACAAAUCCACUAAGGUCCUUUCACUUGGGUAACAGCUUUUGUACAAUCCAGAAGAUUGAAGUUUGAGAGGAAAAACUAACCAGGUUUGAUAUCUUUCAUGAUUUGGUUAUUUCUACUGUAUUGUACUGGUGUAAAAAUAAGUACCCUUUUAAGCCUUUGAGUCUUUCUUAUAUUGUCUCUCACCUUUGGCCCUUAUUUCAUUCUAUCAAUGAAAUGUUUCCUUUUCAAAAAAAAAAAAAAAAAAGAGAAAAAUAGUCAAUAACUUUCUAGUUUCCAUUAAAAACCAAAACAACUCAUCUCUCAGUUCUCACCAAAGCAUUAUCAGCCAUAAUGGCACUUAAACUAAUGAGAUCCCAAUAAUAGUUUUCCAAAGAUGCACAAAUACCACCCCCAAGAAUUGUGCGGACACAACCUAAAGACUAUGAAAAUCUCAUUAAGGUCGACUUAUACCAACUCAUUCUUUUCUAACCCACUACUGUUUUGAGGAUUCACAGGAUGUCCUUUUACUACCACCACAAAACUUCUGAAACAAGUCCAAUUAAAAUCUAAAAGUUGAGGACUUGCCUGACUCAAUGACUUCCUCAACUUUUCCAUUCUCCCGCUGCUUAUGAAGGUCCAAACUGGCUGAUUUGAAACAAGUAAAUUUAAUUGCUCCUAUUUCUCAAAUUAUAACAAAAGGUCCCUUAACAUUUCCCAAAAGAGCCAACCACGUUCCUGAAUACCAGUAGGAAUCCUUAAAACCUUUCUUCCUCCAGCAGAGGGCCAAUAAUACACUUUGAAAUUUACCCUGAUUGGGAUCUAAACUUUGACACUCAAAGAGUUCCUGAAUGAUCUCUACUUUAAUUGAAAAUUUUGAACAUACUGAAAUGUAACAUUUCCACCCAGUAGCUUUCAGACCAAUGAAGAUGGAAGAUUGAUAAAGGAAUUUUCUGUUUGAACUUCACACCUUCAACUAAGAUCAAAUCACCAUUUGUCUGAAAAUGCCACGAAUAUAACUUUUCACUUGCUCCUUAGGCUUGAAACCAGCUCGAAGUACGAGGGAAAAUUACAGAAACAAGAUCUGAGCAAAACAAACUUCUAACACAGCAAAGAUUGAGGAAGGAGGCUUGACCAAGAUCAAAAGGCAAAAUGAAAUGCUACAGAGAAGGCUUGCACUGGAUGAAAACUGAGACAGAGGAGAGAGGAGAGAGGAGAGAGGAGAGAGGCAUCGAUACUCUUAGACUGAUUUUGCUACUGUUUUAAGCAAAGUAGAUAUUUUUCUAUGGCGCAGUUAGUGUUAGAGGGUGGCAUGCCAAAAAGGAAUCUUCAUGAUUAUUUUAGUUUAAUACAUGUAUCGUAUAACAGUUGUUUUUUUCCCUUAAAAAGUAAGUCAAACAUUCCUGCCAAGGUACUUGAAGUUGAGGCAUGUAGCUAAUUUUGAAAAUUCUGUCAACAUAUCAUUUCAUUCACAUUCAUAAAACUAGAGGAUUUAAAAUUUCUUACUGGAGCACUGUUGCAGAAAAUUAGCAAUGGCUCAAAGACAAUCACGGGCGUACCUUUGGACCACGGUCAACCAAUCGGGCCCACUCAUGUCGAUUUCUUAGACAAUCAAGAACAGCUUGUGAAUGACUGGAAUAAGCAUAGCGCUCUCCAUUGUGCUUCCUCAAGUUAUGCCAGUGCUGCAAAGAAAAGUAGCAAAGUAAGCAAUUGCACAUAAAAGGAAAAAAAAAUGAUUAUUCGAUAAUAUACAAAGGAAACGAAGACAAAUAAAUAUGGCAUAUCAGAAGAAAUCAUACUGGCAAUACAGCAUUACAUAGUUCUUCAUAAGUCAUACGCCUUCCUUUGCUCAUAAUCUCAUUGAUCAAGCCUGCAUAGAAAGAUAUAAUGUUCCAGAUUAUAAAAUCAAUUAAUUUUAUGAAAAUAAAAAGAAAAUUUCCACGCGUACAGUUCACUACACACACAUACCAGGUAAGGUGUGAUGAACAGGACCUUCUCCAACAGUGCCCGUGUCAUCAUCAGAUGUGUUCCUUGGUGAAUUACGUACAGAUGUAUUGUUAUGAUCAUUUGCCUCAAUUGAUGAAGAUGGGCCACUACUUGUGGUAUUUCUACCAUAGGCUGAAAUAAAACCUUUUUUAAGAGCAUUCAGUCUUGCUUGUGAUCCAUUUUCCUCCCUCUUGGAUGCUUCUGCAGAAAUACUUGUCUCCUGCCUUCUUUGAUCAGGGGAAGAAAGAACUUCAUCAGUUCUUUUAGCAUCGUCAUCAGGAUCGCAGGCACUGCGGAAGGUAUCUCUCAAGGCAUCUUUGUUUUUCAUUCUAGAAGCCUAUAAAUUAUAUAACCACAAAUAUUUUAAAGAUAACUCUUAGAACCUGCAAACCGGCAUAUCUAAAAACAGAACAAAUUGGAAUAGAUCAUAUUCAUAAGAGGGAGAUAUAUGCAUAUAUUUUACCGAAGCAUGAUCUCUUCCCCUAGAAGAAGAAGAACGCUUUAUUAGCAUGCUUGUUGCAUUUGGAGAACCCAACUGUGGUGAGCUCCCUGGCUGACGCAAUCGUGGAACACGAGGCACUCUAGGUGAGCUAUUGAGCUCUUGAUGCAAAAGGAAGGCUAGCUGCCAGAAUCCAAAGUAAUUAGAUUAUAUACAUGCAAAGUCAUAUAGAAAAGUACAUCACUAGAGUUAAAAAGAAAAAAACUGAAAUUUUUUAAGAACCUCUUCAUCACUCAGAACAGCAGAUGGAUUUGUAGUUGCUGGAGGGCACAUGGCUGUUGCAUGUCGCUGAUUGACCUUAGAUGGAGGAUGAAAGUUUGUCUGGUUAGGCUUGUCACCUCUUUGUGCUAAACAUGAGCCCAAUAUCUUGUUUUGUCCAAUUAAACCCUUAUGAUUGAGAUGCGACUCAACAGAUUCACUGUAGCCACUAUCUGAUGCAUUAUGUACCACAGACGUUUUAACCGUUGAGAGCACAACAGAAUCUUUUAUGUGCAAUGAGGUUCUUUUUGAGAUAGGAUCUUGCAACAAGUCCCUAACAGAGUAUAAUGAAGUUGUACCAGCACUUGGUUGCUCUUUAACUCUUCUCCUAGGCAUUUUUUCCCUUUCUUCAUCUCUGUCAACAUCAUUUGAAGAACAUUCUUUUCUACUGCUACAACUUCCAGACGCUGCCUCAUGUUUGGCAGCAGUACCCUCUAUGCUUUCAGGAUCUGCAGGUGUUAAUUCAUUGGAUAUUGAUGGUUUAGAAAUUAUAACGUCUGACGAUGCAGGGGAAGAUAUUCCAACACAUAACGUUGUUUUGUGUUGAGGAGGUAAUACACGUUGAUUUGAAACCAUUCCACCCGAUUUUGAUGGCUUUUCAACACCAACUUCAGAACCAUUUUGGGAUUUCAAAGAACUAAUAUCAACUGUUGUGCUGCCUUCUGGCCAAUCCCAUUCCUGUUUAAACUCACGUGGAUUAGUACAUUGCUCGUCAGCCUUUUCAAUACAAUAACUGCUACCAGCUUCAGAGCUUCUGUUGAAUUCUUCUGCCUUGUGGCCAUCGAAUUGUGAACCGCAUACUGCACCACCAGAACUCACCUUAAAACUCUCGUGCAUACGAUCAUUGCAUUUUUGCAGCUCUGCAGCAUCAGCAUGUGAUGAAGCCUGGGCGUUCAAGGAUUCUCCAGAUACAUCAUGUUGCUUGUCUAUUUUCAAUUUGGCAUCCGACUUCAGUGAAUCAGUUGAAUUGCCACAAUUAACAUCUAGAUGAAUUUGAUCAUCCUUAAUUUCAAGUGCAAUGGUAGCUAAACCUUCAAGAGAAGGCUUUAGGAAACUCUUAGAAAAUCCUUCAAUACCAUCAUCUGAAUAGUCAAGUGCCGUACCACCCUGAAGUUGAAUAAGUAUGGUAGGGAAUUACCAAACAGUGGAAAGUAGAACAGAAUGAUCAAUCAUAAAAAGAAAAAAAACAAAAAGAACAAAUCAGAAGGUAUAAAAUGCCUAGGAAAACACUCAAGCAGCUUUUCUUCUUCACAUUUGAACUCUUCCUCUUCAUCAAUUAGAAACAUUUCCCAAAAAAGAUCUAAACGUCACUCAAUAGUGUGAAAGUACCCGAAUUUAUUCAAGCCAUUCCCAAAGCAUUGUGUUCAAAGAGAGAGGGUACAGGAGACCAUCAGAAUGAGAAUAAACAAGGUCAAAUUGAUCUCAGAACAAAAUCCUGGUGUGUUGGAAGUUAAUUGUGCAAAAAAUCAAGCUCCUACUCAAGCUAACAGGUCAGAUUCUCAGCCCCCUUCUCAUCAAUUAUUCGAGCACUCUCUUAUCUCAUUGCCUAACUCAAAGGUGAAAUUUUUUAGAGGAACUCCAUGCCAAACCUCAGAUUAUUCCAUCCAAAAAACGGUGCGAGUCUGCAACUGAAUCUUCAUAUAGUGUGAGCAGCGAAGAAGUAGAUUAUGGUGAAAAGACAGAUGAAAAUGAGAAAUUGUUACAGAAGGAGCCCUUUGAAACAGACCUCAAUGCUCUGUUUCAGCUUGAUGAAGGUUUGAAAGGUGAAUUGCCUGCCCUCCAACAGUUCAGUCCUUUGGGAUCCCAGAUCACUUGAAAUCAAAAGUUGCUGCGUGCAGUUUAAUUUUGGAUGAAACCUUCCAAAUAAUGACAGUGUUUUUGUUCCUUUGCCAAAAAAGAAAAAAGAAAACAAUGGGAACCCUCUUUCACAACUUAUUUCACCUUUUUCGAGUUAAUUUUCUAAGUAUGCCGCUCUUUCUAUUUAAGGCUUUCUCAUUCUUAAACUAACUCCUUUUAUUUUAGAUUUUUUCUAUCUUAAACCACUCCUUUUAUUUUAUGCUUUCAAUUUCUUGUUAGCCUUUCAGUAGUUCUCAUGGAGUUUGGUUUCUAUCUUUUUAACAAACCCAACACAUUCUUGAAAAUUUCAAGAACUUGUUAAUUAUUUUCUCCAUUCUUCGCCUUCUUUAUCAAAAUAAGAAACCAUGAAUUGGUAAAUACAUAAUACAUAGAAGGGGGAGGGCAAAAGUGAAAACACUAACCCCCUCCCCAAGAUCUUUCUUUCUUAUAAAACACGAAUAAUAUAUUGACUCCCAUUUAGUUAUGAUACGUACAAGAUCAUAAUGACUAAAAGAAUUAGAAAGAGAACACCAAAUGGAUGCAAAGAUCCGAUGGAAUUCCCAGGAUUAUGAGUAGAGAUUUUCCUAAAAGCUCUCCAUGUUCAAGUGGUCUGAGGGUACAGUGUACACAAUAAAUGAAUACCUACCAACUCCUUAAGUGUUAUAAACACAGAAGUAUUAAGAUACUACGAACUCUUUUGCAUUAGAAAGCCACUCAAGAGAAAGAAAAGACUUGGCUCUAUACACCCUUCAACUUUAUGAGAUCUCAUUCAAUAUGAUACUAAAAUCUCCUGUAUAACACUCAACACAUAGUUGCAGUCAUAAGACAUGUGGCAUACAGUGCAAUACAAAUAAUUAUGCAAAAGACCAAUAAAUACGAUGAAAUACAAUUACUUAUUCAAAAAACUGACAUACCUGCUUCAUGACAACAUUUCCAACAUCUUUUUUAGCAUAGAGAGGUGGUGUCUCACUCUCAAUUUUGAUGGAAUUCUCAACUGCUGAAGCAACUUGCAUCCCUUUAUCUUCCUUUGUUACAACUGUACUGAGACUAUGGUUUCUAAAUACCUCGGAAGAAACAGUAUCAGAAGAGAGCUCAAAACUAUAUUUAGGUCUGUCAACAUUUCUAUUGGCUAUAUCAUAUGCAUCAGAUGAAGAUUCUCGAACCGCUAUUUUGUUCCUAGGAUUUUCACCAUCACCUCUGACAUGCUUUAGAUCUCUGCCUGCCGAUUGUUUUUCACCAUCCGUCGAUGUCAACACUAGAAAUAACAACAAAGAGAGGAUGUGAAGAACUGAAGACAUUUCCUACAUAAUAAUCUAAGAUAUCAAUUAAGAAAGCCUGAAGAUGAAGUACCUAUUUUAGCAUGAUCAACUCUCUUUUUCAUGUUUGUCACCUUAUCAGAGGGUGUAGACUUAGUCUUCCCAGGUUGAUCUUUUGAUACUGAAUAGUCUUCUUUUUUGCACUUACCUGAAUGUAGUAUGAGAGGUCGAAGAAAGCUUCUCUCCCUCACACCAUUCCCAGCACACCUAUCCAAAUCUUCACUCACACCCUGCUUUUCGCUCAAAAACCCAUUCCUGUCACAUAACACAUCCCCGACUUUGCCUCUCAUACCAAUCAAAGCUGCCACAGGCGUAGCCAACACAUUUUCCUUCGACAAAGAGAAAAGAACACCAGCACCUUUGUCAGCAGGAUUCUCAUUUUUCUCAAUGUCCGUAUUAUCACGCUGGUCCUCAUCCCAACAGGGAAACUCCCGAUACUGAAAAUUAAAUUUCUUUGGAACAUAUCCAGUGCAGUUCCACAACUGUGGAGUAAAUAACGAUGACAACCCGCUAAAUAAAGCAGGGUCACCACCUGGAACCCCAUGAACAUGAACUCUUUCCUCAAUCGGUAUGUCUGUCCAAAGCCUAAACUGACGCUGUGAUGGCCCAGUACAAACGUAUGUACUCUCCAUGCUCAUGGUUUUGGUAGGAAGCUCAACCAAUAAUUGCGCAACCUCAGUCUCCUCACAAUCAUUCCUCUCGUUCUUCCCCUUACAUUUGUCGCAAACAAAAAUAUCAUCUCCCUUCACAUAACGCGAACACCGUGUGUGCACCCAGACGCCACAUUCAUCGCAGUUAACCAUUUCUUCCCCAUCAUCAAAAUUGACACCACAGAUGCAAUCCACAGUCCAAGAACCAUUGACCCAAUCGUCAGGAGGGUCCAUACUCUGAAGGCGGCUCGACUGCCCCUUCAUACCUAAUUCAACGCCAAAUCACCCUGAUUGCCCAGAAUUUCCAACAGGGAAAGGGUUUGACAAAAAGCACAAACCCUAAAACAAUUCCUCGAUUACAAACGAACAAUCCCAGAAUCCAGAAUGCAAGAUUAUACUAAAAAAUAUUCAGAAACAGCGUUCCAACAUGAGCCAAACAAGAUUAAUGUCGUUCCAGAGGGUGUACCUGGAAAUUACAGAACGAUUAUGACGACUACAACAAAGGAAAUGAAAAUUUCGCGUUCGUAUACGGUCACGCGUUGUUGUAGAAGCAGAAACCCCGAUAGAUUGAAUUCAAGAAUGUCAGCAGAUGCGUGUAAUUGGAAGAAGGCCUACCUCCAACAGCCGGACUGAACGAAGAGCUUCUGACUUUCCGAGUAGCAACCGGGUCGGUGGAACCGUGAAAAGAAAUCCAUCCAUGGAAACUGAAAGUACACGAUAAUAAUAAUAUUAAUGAAAAUUCAUAUUUUUCAUCCAAAUAUAGUAUUUGUAAUUAAAAAAAUAAAAAUAAGGGGAAUUUACAUAAUUCGAAGCAAAUCAAAAGUUUUACCUUUUAUAGAAAAAAAAAACGAAGGGCAUAUAUUAAUUUUAUAUUAUUGCAAAAAUACCCUUGAAGUAUUUGUAUGGUUUUUCGUCUUUCUUCCUUUAUUUUUUCGACGACUUGAUAUGUGUGAUUGUUUAAGGGUCAAUGAUAUUAGCGAUAUCUCUCCAUUUUCAUCACUAACGACAAAUAUGUACACAGUUUCUAGAUCAAUCAUUAAUGACAAUUUUUUUUCGAUAUUCUUCUUUCUUCUCCUUGUUCGUGUUUCCACAUCCAUCAUCGAGACAAAUAUUUCCACAGUCGCUGUUUUCUCAUUUAUCAUCGGUGACAAUUUCCUUUUCCUUCAUUUUCUUCUUUUCGUUCUUCUUCUUCUUUUUUGUUGUUCUUGAUUUUGUGCUACUUUUUUUAGGUUUUAAUUAAUUGAUGCUUUGUUUUUUUUUAUUUAUUUUUGUUUUUGGUGAAUUAAUCUGAAUUUUGUGGAUUAUUUUAUGUAAAUUGUUUAAUUUGUAAAGAUGCUUAUCUUUAUUUGUUUGGGUGGAGUCAUACAUAUAAUUAGUUCAUCAGACUUUAGUUAAUUCAUCCAUGGCUUUAAUUGGUUCGUCCUUGGCUUUAGUUAGUUCAUCUUUUGCUUUAAGAAAAAAUAAGAAAAUGAAGGACAAAUGAAAAUAUUUUUAAAAAAAUUGGAGAUGAAAAGAAAAAGACAAAUGGAAAUAAAAAAAUCAUUAAAAAACAAAAGAAAAAAAUUGCAGAAUGACAAACCUGAUUUUUUUUUUUUUUUUUGAAAAAAAUGGUCAAUUUAUUACACGACUCAUUCGAUAUAUUUAUGAAAAUUAAAACUUUUAUUUUUUAAAAUAUUAAUAAAAAGUAGUAUUUUAAACUUUUUUAUGUCAACAAAAUGUUUGUAUUUUUUUCAUUUUAUGUCAACAAAAUGAAGCCUCAAGAUGUGUGCGGCCGCAGCCGAGAGGCCAUAGAAUUUAUGCGAGAAAUUUCCCUAAUUAUUACAUCCAAAGCAUCUCUAUUAUCCAAAAUGGAUUUAUGAGAAACACCCGGAAGCUCGAUCGUUUCCAGCGUUUGAUUCUUCUCCUCUGCCCAUAAUUUCUCAAGCGCCCGCAAGCUCACCAUAUUCACCGUCCCAUCUCCAUCCCCAUAGCCCAUUUCCGGCUGUUCAUCGAACCCCUUUUCGCCGUACAACAGAGUCUCCGGCGUCUUCACACCCCCUCCAAUUACACAAGUUAAAUCCACCCCAGGUGCUUCAAAAUGUUCGAUGAGUGGCAAAAUGCGAGAUUCGUAAGGAUAAACACCUUCCUCAAAUCCAAUAUCCUUCAGAAAACGAGGUAUUUCCUCCACUGUGUAGUUAUAAUAUUGAGUCAUUACUAUCGGCUUAUUGUGUUUGUAGAUUGUGGGGUUGGGCAAUAGCCAUAGAUUGCUUUCAGAACUCCGUUGCUCUGUUCUAACACGCAAUGGAUCGACGAGUGGGACGCCGAGUGUGUUCCCUGAUGCGAAUGUGCGCAUCCCUUCCACUGAUCCACCCCAUGGUGUAGACAAGGUCACAAGGUGUUUGAUGAAGUGCCUACGCCAAGAGGGUGUGUUUCGAUUGAGAAAUUGGAGGGCGAAAAGUCCCCCUAAGCUAUGAGUCACCAGUAUUACUGAUUUCCCCCCAUUUGAAUUGCUUGCUUUCUCCACCAAUUCUUUUAGAUCCUUGAGGAACUUGGAACCCACUUCACAGGGAUGACCUUCUGGAGCCAAACCAUAUCGAAAAUCAUAGGGUGCUCCGAAUAGGGUCUUGUCUCUAACGUACCCAAUUGCUUCUAAAGAAUUCACCAGCCCGGCCAUAUAUGUUGUGAUCUUCCUGCCAAUAGAAAAAGGCAACCAAUCACAAGCAAUAUUAGAAGCUAUGAAGCGCGUACACUUCAUGUGAAAUAGAGAAUUAAUAUGAAAUACGUAUUAGAUACUGAUAUUCUGAGAUACUUCUUAAAUAUAUUCAGUACACGACUCAGGGUAUCUAUUUUUCUUUUUAUAGAUAUUGGUUAUGGCAUCACCUUCUAUAACUAACCUGUGUAAAAAGUCCACUGCCCAAGUAAAAAAUUGAAAACCAAUCAUGUAAUCUUCGUGCCCUAGUCCCCGCAAAGUUGUGCAAAAAAUAACCCACUUGAUUAACUUCAAGGAAGAAGUUUUUCCUUUAGGUUCGUACUAAUCCCUCUAAUCUUCUUCUUCUCUAUUGAUUUGAUUCCAGGGUAUCAGCAACCUUUUCUAUUGUAUUAUUGCUGCUUUUUGUAUUGUAUUUCAGCGUUUAUAUUAUAUUUAGUAUUAUUAUCUUUAACUUGACAUUUUAUGUUUUCGAGUGGAUUGCAUUUAGUAUUUCAAGUUAAAUUUACAUAUUUCCUAGAUUUUUUUCUUUAAAAGUAUAUUCAAAGAAUCCGUAUCCUAGUCUUUGAGGUAUUGACAUAUCAUCGUAGCCUAAUACAUAUCUCUGUGUUUGACUUUGUGCUACAUAGAUUUCUAGAAAGCUUACUUGAGAUUGGGAUCGAGGUAGAGAAGAGACUGGACUGAUCCAAACUGAUUGACUCUAGUUUGAACACCAAUUUCAUUUCUGUAAUCAUCCGAAUCUUUGUCAUAAUGAAGUGUCAUCCGGUGAGCAAAGCAAUCUGUGUAUGGAGCCAACAGAACAGUAGGGCUGAACCAAAGCCUGAACCAACCUUGUGAGUCCUUCAUGAUUGGAUUCCAACGGCUGCAAAAUAAGGUGGAGGAUUUGUAGUCUUUGGUGAGGCGAGCUUCCAAUUGGUUCCCACCAGCUCCGGGGAUGAGGAUGAGAGGGUGGAGGGAGUUGCUUGAUUCACACAUGUACAACUGAUGCACCAAAGCCAUUGAAACUAUGGCGAUGAUUUUCAGUUCACCCUUCAUCGUCAUCUUCUUUCCAUGUCUGAAAACUGUUCUUUCAUCUCAUCGUUAUUAUUAUCCCACUUUGUCAUGGCUUUCGUCAACUCAAUGACGUACCCCACUUCUCCAUUUUGUGGUGCACAAUAGUUUGCGUUAUCCAAGUAAAAGUUAAACAACAAUAAUCCCAAUCAUUGUGGGCCUCCGGGCCAAAAUAUAUUGGGCUUUCUAGUUUCUACCCGUAACUAGUAUAACUAUGAGAUAGAUCGAUAUACAUAAUUGGAUUAAAAUAUUAGUAUAUAUAUAUAGCAACUUUUCAAAAAGAAAAAACUAUAAAUAUAAAAUUUAUUAAGGAUAGAAACUAAUUAGUGAUAAAUUUUGUUGUAAAUAUUUGUCUAUCAUUGAUAGACCAUAAGAGUCUAAUGUAACGCGAGUUUAUCAUUAAUAGAUUUUGACAUAUCGACGAUUUUAAAAAAAAUGUUAUUAUAUACUUAAUUGUUAUUCUUAAAAUUGUUACGUAUAAUUAUAACAUCGUCUAAACAUUCUUAUUCUGGCCUAAUACACUAAUAGUAACUCAAUUCUUAUUAGUUUUUUUUAAAAAAAUUAUAUACAUAUAGUAAUAUUAAUAUCAAAACAAGGAUAUAAGAGAAGUUUCUUACGUAUUAGUAUGAAAGAAGUUUGUUACGUAUUAGUAUGAAGUUUUGUAGGGGUCAACAAAUUGUGUGCUGAAGUGGGAGAGUCUAUGUUUUCAAUUAAUCGUAAAACUUAUAUUUUUUAGAAUGUUAUUUGGUUGAAGGUCGUGUACUAAAUAUAAAAAAAUUUGAAUAUUGGAACUGUCAUUUAGAUUUCAGUAGCUAAAUUCAAACGAUUAUGUAGUUGAAUGUAAACGACCGUGUAGACAAAUCUAAACAAUUGUGUACCAAAAAAUCUUGGAAAAAAAGUUUUUUAGAUGGGGGAUGAUCGUGUAAGAAGAAUCUUGAAAAAAAAAUCAUUGCUUACCAAAUAUAUUAUGUGCGCGAGUGACCAAUUAAUCGUGUGUUGACCGUAACAUUUUUUGUAUUUUUCAUUGUGAGUCUGUGAGCUUUUUUGUUUUCGAAAUUGUUCUAUACAGUGUAAAUAUUUCGAUGAUUUGCUAUAUUUUUUUAAAAAAUAUCUAUUAUAUAUUUGAAUUUUGUAGAAAUAAACUACCAUUUAUUUGAUGAGUACAUGAGCAAGACAAUAUGUACAAUAUAUUGUCUUAUGUGCUUAACAAUAAAUGUAUUUACAUUUUUCUAAUAUAUUUGUAAAAUCAUUAAAAGAUGAACAAUUUUCCAAUAUUCAAGAUUUGAUUCAAAUCAUGUGCGUCAUAAAUUCAACAUUUUCAAUGAUACAUGUUUUCGUACUUCAUUUUUACUUCUUUCGGUUCUUGUUUCAACGAAGAUACAAUAUCCAAUAGUCGUUGAUUUUCAUCAAACAAUUCUUGUAUUCUCUCUUUUUGAGCAGCACAAGUUAAUGAAUCUUCCUCACAUUGAUAAUGUAACUGAUCACAUGACAAGGUAUUCUUUUUAUGUGAAAUCGAGCCUUCAACACAAGAUAUAAAAUCAUCUGUAGAUGGAAUACUGGCAAAAGUUGUACUAUAUUCUCCUUUCUCAUCACUAUCAUCAGACUCUUCAUCAGAUAGAGUGGCAUCAAAACUUUUAUUCUAUCUCCUCAUAUAGGUAAGAUAUUAAGCUUGAUAUUGGUCAUACUCUUCACCUUCUCUACAUUUGAAAAAUCUGAUAUCUUUAUCACUUGACUUGUCACACUCUUUCCUUUUAUAGCUGCCUUGAUCUCUCUACUAUUAGAGCCAUAAUUAUUUGUGUUCCUGAAUUUCUUAACAACUCUAGAAAGUUGUUUGGUUAACAUGGCAAUUGACUCAUUUAUGUUAUCGUUCAAGGAUUUACUUUUAUCAAGAUUUACCUCCUCAUGAACAAAUUGAAAAGCAAUAAUUCAUUUACUAUUUAUAGUAAUAGUAAGUGAUUCCCAAUGAAAAAUGACAACUUUCCAAGUUUUACUUCCCUGAUCGACGCCAUUGAAGACUCAAUGAACCAACGUCAACCCGCUCCUAAUACCAAUUGAAAACAAGUGAGAUAAUCAAUAAUAUCCUUUAACUAUGCCUAAAGUAAUUAACAGUGAGAAUAACUAAAGAAACAGAAAGAACAAAUAACACAAAAGGCUUUGUUAACUCAGUUCGGCGAAUAACACCUACAUUUGAAGAGCUUCUUAACUCAUAUAAGAAAUAUUAGUAAGAUUCAAAUGAGCAAGCAACAACAAUCUUAAGUUGAAACAAAAAAUAUGCUUUCCUGAAUUUGUGUUUGAAUCUACUUGAAGAUAAACUCAGUCUUCCCCUGAAUUCAUUGACUGUAGUUCAAUUAUUUCAGUAUUCUUUCAUAUUUCUUAUCAACUGGUACACACUAAGAUCACUAAUAGAAUUUCAGUAAUUUUUCAUCACAACGAAGGUAAUUGAUGUACCCUUCGAAACCUUUCUCCUAAAAGAAUACUUUCGAAUUGAAUGUCCAGAAAAGUGCAUACCAAACCAGGUGUGGAGCUUCAAUAUUAAAGACUUUAUCAAAUCUUCGAGAUCUUCUUAUUUCAAAGAUAUCAAAUCUUCAAGAUCUUCUUAUUUCAAAGAUAUAGAUAAAAUAUUUCAAUUAAAGGGGUAAAUCUUUUUAUCUUUAACAUACAUAGCUUUGUAUUUGUACCUUUUCUUUUUUUAAGAUAACCAAUGUUCAUUAAAUAAUAAAAAAGAAUUCUUAUUAAUUCUUUUUGAAAAAAAAAAAAACCAACACUAACUUGUAAGUAUAACAUAUUCAAUUAAGAGUAUAUAAGCUACCGAGAAGAAAGAGAAUGAUGGAACCAUGAUGAAUGGACCUUAAAUUUAAGAAGGUUGUAUGUUAGUAGUUGGAUGAGUGUUAAUACAUCUUUUGAGUUUAGCACAAACAAGAGAAACAAAGUUGAGUAUAAUUUAAAGGACAGGCGAUGUGAGGGAAAGGAUGUGUGCAUUAGAAAUUGUGUCAUUUAGACUUUGUUGAUGAGAUUUUGAUAUUCAAUAUUCGAGAGUGGCACGCUAGUCCCACUCAUAGGGAUAGUGAGAAUGAAUUUUGAUUUAAAAGUCACGACCAUUUAUUGUGAAGCUUUAAUUGGAGCUCAAUUUUGAUUGCUUGAAAAAUUGACUGAAGAAUCUAAUGGUAAGAUUAAUUUCUAAACUUUUAAAAGUUCAUGACAUUUUUUAAACAAAGGAUUAAUAGUUUUCAUCCACAACUAACAUAAUUAGGGUAUCUUUUAUUUUAUUUUUAAAAAAAAGUUUGAAAAUUCAAUAAUAUUUUAGAAACAAAUUGGAUAGUUUAGCCUAAAAUAGUUAUAUUUUGUACGUGAAUGCUUCAACAUGCAUUGCCUUACCUUUGUUCUAUAAAAUUUAUAUAUAUAUAUGAUCAUGAUGAAAUUUGAGAGAGUUCGAGUCCUUCUAAUCUUAAUUGAAUCUUCCCUCAAUCUUUAAGAUGGAGGAAAAAGUCAUCUCAAUUACAUAAGUUGUGCUCACUUAGGCAAUUACAUUCUGCUUGGAUGGCAUAUUAUUGUUGCUCAUGAUUUCAAUACAAAGGUCUAAAAUGUUACAAGAUUGAAGGAGGUAGUUCUUUACUACUAUUUAAAAAGAAAAAAGCAAUUCAUUGUUCAUAUGGGCUACGUAGUACCAAAAAGAAUAUCUACAACAUGGAGAGAGAGUAGUUAUACUAAGUCAAAAUUUACUCCUAAUGUUUCUCCAUGAGAACACUAACAAGUAUUUUCUACACGUGCAAGCUAAGUCAGACUAAAAAUCAAUCCUAAAUUUCACAACAGUGAUCAUUGAUAAGAUGCAUAAAAAUAUACUUGUUGGAAGGCAGAUUAUAAGUACAAAAGCAGAAAAUUGAUCAUAAUUGUCUAAUCUCUUUGAUCGUGCGCAUCAUCCUCCUCCUCGUAAUCAUCAUCCUCCUCGUAAUCAUCAUCUUCCUCAAAAUCAUUAUCUUCUUCAGUAUCAUAAUAUUCGUCAGAAUCAUUAGCUUUCUCAUAAUCAUUAUCUUCCUCAGUAUAUCCUCAGUAUCAUUAUCCUCCUCAGUAUCAUUGUCUUUAUCAGUAUCAUUAUCCUCCUCAGCAUCAUUGUCUUUCUCAGUAUCGUUAUCCUCCUCAGCAUCAUUGUCUUUCUCAGUAUCAUUAUCCUCAUUAGCAUCAUUGUCUUUCUCAGUAUCGUUAUCCUCCUUAGCAUCAUUGUCUUUCUUAGUAUCGUUAUCCUCCUCAGCAUCAUUGUCUUUCUUAGUAUCGUUAUCCUCCUCAGUAUCAUUGUCUUUCUCAGUAGCAUUAUCUUCCUCAGCCUUUUCACCAUUAGCAUUAUCUUCCUCAGCCUUUUCACCAUUAGCAAUAUCUUCCUCUGCAUCAGACUUAUAUGUCUUCACAAUCACAUAAUCGUCUGUCACAUUAAGAGUCUCACGCUCUGUUGGCCUUAUGCCAGCCACAUAUCUCACAGCAUUCUGACUUAACUCAAAUGGAUCGAACGAACGGCAGAUCCUGAAAUGUUGUUGAUGGUAGGCUUUAUAAUUUAAUAAAAAUAAUACGAAAAGAAUGUACAAAGUAGGGUUUGAAUCUAGGUUUAUAUUAGACGGGGACUGGAGACAGUUUUACCCGAGUUAAAUGGUGCUUUUGGUAUUAUAUCAGUUAUAUAUAUAUAUAUAUAUAUACAUAAAUAAAGAGAAAGCUAAGUUCGCGGGUGGAUCAAAUCCAGCCAUUUGACUUGAGAGAUUUCAACUAUAAAAUGGAUCAAAAGACUAAAAACCAUACUAAUUAAUCUCCUAGUUCUUUCGACAUCUUGAUCUCUGCCGAUUCCAAAUCUUGAUAAAAUCGUUAUUAAUUAAUAUAGACCUAUUUGGAUUAACUUUCUAAUUAACUAUGUACUAACCUUGGAGGUCUAGAAUGAUUAGCCGCAGUUGCUUCGUGGUUUUCAUCAUUGGAAACCUUACCAGCUUGCUUAUACCACUUCGCCAACUGUGCACACAAGAGAAGGAAUGAUAAACAAUAAGAUUAUAAAACAUUUCAUAACAUUUCUUUUUUUUCUAAAACCAUAAUGAUUUACAUUUAAAGAACGAGCAGUGAAAAUAAUAGUUAAAAAUGAUUACCAGUUUAUACGCUAACUUCGCGGCCAUAUUCAGAACAACAAUUCUAGGACGAGGAGACUCAGAUUCUUCCGGGGGAUCCACUGGAUCAGAUUCUUGCAGUAGUUUGGCCAGGGCAUGGGGUUGAGAUUCUUGCGGUGGAUCAAAUUCUUGGGGCUGGAGUUGUUUCACCGGGGCUUGGGGUUGAGAAUCUUGCGGCUGUGGCAGUGGCAACGGAGCCAUGUUGAGACGAGAGGGAGAAGGGAAGGGGGAGUGAGUUGAGAUUUGAAAUAAAUGAGAGGAGCAAGUGACUUCCUUGACAAGCUAUUCUACUUGAGAAACCCUCAUGUUUAUAAAUUUUAUAAUUAUACUUUUUCCCUCCUUUUCUUGGCUUUCUUUUUAAAAUUAGUAUUCUAUUCCAUUAUUGUUAUCACUUUUCCAAAUAUAACUAUAAACAAUUUUUAAUUUUUCUAUUUUCACUAUUUAAAAAAUGUAGUGAAAAUAAAAAAAUCUGACAAUGCACUAAAUAAUAAGGGAGAAGAGUGAAGAGUGAAGGACGAAGAACCAGAUAGUUUGUCUUUCAUAACCCAACGUGACACUUAAUCUUGAAAUCACAAAACUCCCCAAAUUAAUGGUAAUAAUAGAAGCUGGAAGGUUGUCUACUCCUUCAAUCUCCCUUGCUUAGCAAUUCACUAUCUUCUCCCCUUUCAACAAAAAAUUAACUAUUUGUGUAUGAUCGAUUCCAGUAGAUUAAGCAUGUAAAGAAUUGCUUUCUAGGGGAGUUUCCUUGAAGUCAAUUGGAAAAGCGGUCUAUCAAUGAAUCUUUUUUAUAUAAAAAAAAAAAAAAAGCAAACCAUUUGUAUUCCAGUUAUAGUUUAAUAUACUAGAAAGGGUGUAGAAGUUUUAUGGCUUACAAGUUUAUAUUUGAUCACAACGACAAUAAUUUUAUUCAGAUUUUGGCUCCUGCAGGAAUUGACGAAAACUAUGGAAAGUCGGGGAGUCAAUGCUAAUUUCUCAACUAAUGACUUUGUCUUCAGGCAUGCCACUCCAUAGUUUUAACUCACUUUUUUCAUUGUUCUUUUACUUUGUUUAUUGUUGGUUUGGACUUAGAGGGACAAUGAAAAUAAAGUAUAAGGUGAUUGCAACUUUUACUUUUCAUGUUUGGGUAGUACUUUUAGUUUUAACAAUUUUGGUUUUGAUGUAGAAAGCGAAAGCGAUCAAUUGCAGAACAGAGAAAAUCACUCCCAAUAGCAUCUGGUAUUGAUUAAAGUUCUUUUGGUUUUCUCAUUCAUGUUUUUCUCUCUUGCACCCGAAAGUUCUAAACUUUUUCUGAUGGCUGUCCCUUUUUCUUAUGUGCUUAGUUGAGACAAAUUUCAUCCAAAAUGUGCAUGAAAAUGAUGUAUUGAUUCAUAUUGUUGUUGGUGAAACUGGAAGUGGAAAAACAACACGUGAGAUUUUAACUUCUGAUCUUUUAAAUAAGCUAUUAUGUCAAUCAAAACAAUUUGCAUUGCGUAUUAACUAUUUGGCAUUUUUAUUGAAAUAUUUUAGAGAUACCACAGUUCCUCUUUAAUGCUGGGUUUUGUCGACAUGGAAAAGCUAUUGGGGUAACCCAACCUCGACGAAUUGCUGCCCUAUCUGUAGCCAAACGAGUUGCUGAGGAAUGUGGUGUCGUGGUUGGUGAAAAGGUUGGGUAUUCUAUCAGAUUCGAGGAUGUAACUUCCAGUUCCACCAGAAUAAAGUAUAUGACAGAUGGUAUACUACUGAGGUAAAAUAAGACUACUAUUUUUGCUUUUUUUCAUUUGAGACCAUUUUUCUUUAUUGUACACGCAUGCAUGCUUGUAUACAUGUCUCCCAAUUUCUUUUCGAUUAAAUUGUUUCUUGUAAAAAAACAAAUACAUGGGGCAAUUUUUUAUUAACAGUUAUGCUUGUUUCUUCAUGGUUUAGAAAAGCUAGUCAAUACGGAUUUGGUGAAAUGUGUAACUUACCUAUCAUGUCGCUUUUAUUAAUUUUCAGGGAAGCACUGUUAGAUUCUUAUCUUUCUAGAUAUUCAGUUAUUAUUGUUGAUGAAGCUCAUGAAAGAACUGUUGAUACUGAUGUAUUGCUAGGGUAUUUGAAAAGAGUGCAGAAAGCAAGAUCUAAAUCUUUAACUGAAUCUUCUAAUGAUCUGAACACAAAUGAUAAUGGCUUGACGUUAGAAAAUAGAAAUAGCAGUGAAUAUGCCUUUUCCUUAAAGAGAUGUCAAGGAAGGAAACUACCUCCCCUGAAGCUAAUUAUCAUGUCAGCCAGCUUAAAUGCACCCCUUUUCUCUGAGUUUUCUGGUGGAGCAAAGGUGUUCCAUGUCCAUGGGCGUCAGUAUCCUGUAGCUAUAUUUUAUACCCGCCAGCCCAUACUAGAUUACAUAGAGGGUACUCUUAUUACUAUAUUUUAGGUAGUUAUUAAUUUCUCAUCUUGAAUCCUGUAUUUGAUUGAAUUAAAGAUUUUUUUAAUGUAUAAUGUCUAGCUACUUUCUCAUUUAAACAUGUUUUGACUGUUAUUUUUAAAGUAUUUUUUAUCAAUCCUAGUUUUAUUGUUUGAAAGCUUCUUGUCUUAAUAUGUUCUUACACAAAUUUAUUUAACAACGAAGGAAAUGCUAAGUUCUCCUUAUGAACACUAGUUUAGAUCAACAUGAGAGGAUUAGAUGGUAUUCAAGGGCCGAUAUACGUUGUGAUGGAGUCUUGGAGAAGAGAACAAGAACUGAGUCUCUCUCUUUUUUUUUUUUAUUAAAAUAUGAAAUUUUAAAAACACAACAGCCUAGAAUUGAAGUUUUGUAUCUAAAGGCAGUAACCUGAUAGAUACAACCAGUUGAGAAGUUUUUAAGUCAAGAGAUGUUAUUUAGUAAUUAAUAGAAGACAACACACUAAUAAAAACAACACAGUGACUAAAUACGUCAAUUUUCCCCCUCCCUAAGAAAAACUCGUUUUCGAGUUUCAAGUUGAGAUGUUUAAAAGAUGUCGUUGAUGUGUAGGUGGUCAGGCAACUAGAUCUUGUAGGCGCUGUCACCAAAUCUUUUUAUUACUCGAAAAUGCCUUAUCUUCUUUAGCUGUAGUUUAUUGUAUUUUACAGUUGACAAUCUUGAAGAUUGAUUCUAAAAAAAAGAUCAAUAAGUCUAAAGGUCCUAAAAUAAAAUUAUCAAGUCCAAGGAUCGACCAUCGCAAGUUCAAAUAUAAAAAGUAUUAGAUAAAAAUUAGUAACUUGAAACAUUUAUAUUACGAAUCAAUAAAAUCAAGUUCAUUAUCACAAAUUAAAUUUUCUUUGUUGAAAUCUAACGUGAAUAUGUAAAUUAUUGAAAACAUGUUUCAAAACAAAAAUAGUAAUCAUAAAAAUAUAUUAGGAAGAGUUCAAAAUAUAGCAUCAGACGUCACUCACAUAUUACAUAUGAACCCAAACAAACAAACUCUGCAGCCCAAAAUAGACAUAUAUACCAUGUUAUAUAAACACAGUGCCCUAAACAGCUUCGAUGAAUGAAUGCUUGACCUAUAAUACAAAAAUUUAGUCUAAGCCUUAGUCUUUGGCUUUAAGGAGUUUGUGAAACUUCAAUGGAUUUAGACCAAUAUGGAAAGAUUUGUGUACUAUAUAGAACAACUUGAUGAGAGCUUGUUCUGUUACAACCAACAAGUUUUAUUAUUGAACAUUGUGAAAGACAUUACACUGCAUGCAUUAUGAUUCAAAUAUACACGAUCUCACUUGUGAGUAGUAACCAAAAAAAAACAAUAAAAGAACAAUCAUCAUUUUUCACUCUUAUUCAGAACUAGAUAAUUGCCUCUCAAACGAUACCAACAAACAACAACUUCCUAAUUCUACAACGAAAUGCACAGCUAUAAACAAGAGAGAGAUUUAAAGGCUCUGAAGUAAUUUGAGCGUCUCGCCGAUAUGCUUUUCAGGUUGAAAUUGGUUGUUAUAUAUGAGCUGCACAACCCCAUUCUUAUCUAGAACAUAAGUUUGUCUUCCAGGUAAUGUACCAAAAAGAUCAGCAGGAACUCCCCAUUCUUUUCUCACUUUGUUACCCUCAUCACUUAACAAUGUGAAUGGAAGUCUGUAUUUCUUAGCAAAAGCCUACAUUCCCAAAAAUGUCAACCUACUUGUUAAUAAUGCUAGUUUUUGAGUCUUAAGAAGUUCAUCAGAUGAAGUUGAGUUUAAAUAAAAAUAUUCAGCCUGCUACAGAAAUUUUGGUAGCUUGGGAAAAAAGUGCUUCUAUAGUUACCUUGUGUGAUGAUGAAUCAUCCCCACUUAUGCCCACAACCUCAGCUCCUGCUUUCUUGAACUUCUCAUAAGAAUCUCUGAAAGCACAGGCCUGCAUAAAUGUCAAUUUCCUGUUAGGGAUAAUGUCCCUUAAUUGAUGGGUCAAAACUUCAUUGAACUUAUGUUUGGAAGUGAUUUAUAACCUUGAAAGCAUUAAAAUAUAAAAGCACUUGUAAACAUAUCGAAGUCUACAACUUAGUGACUUAGAGCCUGUUUGAUUUGAUUUUAUAUAGGGUUAAGGAAGUGUCACUAGUCACUUGAAAAUUCAAUCUAAAAAGCCCUUGGUGUUUUUUGCCUAAGCACUUGGUGUUUUUAUGUCUCAAGACCGAGCUUAUUGACCCAAACAGCCAAAUCAACAUUCACAUACCGUAUACUAGCAAUGUGGUUGGACACGCUGAAACCAUUCAACUUUCUGAGAUUUUUGUACAUGUGACCCAAAUUUUAUUGCACUAAUCAUAAACAAUAAAAUACUAAAAACAUGAAAACUAGCCUUUUGCAUGUGUCAAUACUAUUAUCCUUUCACGAUCGCCGGUGUCAUUCAUCACAAAUUGAUGAGACCUCAAAUGCAAUUCAUAUCCCAAGAAAAGUCACAGCAUCGCAAGAAUUUGUAUUUUUAUAAAAAUCAUAAUGUGCCUUGAAAUCGCGUCUGAGGACUCGUCAAUUCGCAAUUCGAGCAAAUCCACAACCGUAAAUGGGAUCUAAAGAGAAUUCAGCAUUGACUGGUGUAUUGUAACGUUUGCAAAAUAGUUUUCAUAAUUUGGGUCAUUCAACCCAAAAACAAAUUUGGGUUAUCCAUACAGAACAAAACUCCAACAUUUUCCCCAAGUGUUACUAUUUCAAGCAAGAACGAGUCCCAAAAUAUACUAGCAUAAAAUUAGCCAAUUUCAAUGGAAGCAAACAUGAACAACAUUUUAGAACAUAGAAAAAGUACCUGUUUGGUGCAACCAGGAGUUUCAUCAGCAGGAUAGAAAUAGACAACCACAGGUUUCCCUUUAAAUUUAGAAAGACUCACAUUCCUUCCCUCCUGAUCUUUCAAAGUGAAAGGAGGAGGGGCUUGGCCCUUAUUCACCUACACAUCAACAAAAACAAAACCAAAAUGAAAUACUACUAAUAAUAAAAAAAAAAAAAUAACCAAAAUGUAACACUAAAAAUCCCAAUAAAAGGGGAUGGGGGGAGGGUACCUUAGCGGAGAUGGUAAAUUUGAAGGAAGAAGAGGAAGAAGGAAGAGAUGAAGGGAGAAUGUGGUGAGAAAUUUGAGCUCCAUGAAAGUGGGAAGUAGAGGAUCUAGAAAGAAAAGGAAGUUUGUUAGAAGAUGGGGUUUUGGGAGUCAGAGAUGGUAGAAGAGAAGUGAGAGAGAGCUUUGGAUGAGGAAGAGAAGCCAUUUUUGGAGGGUUUGUGAGAAAAAAUAUGCUCUCAAAAUCCCUCUUUUCUAUUCUUUCUUAUCCUGCGUAGAUAUGGUAGAUGCGUAGACACGCUGGUUUCUUUUUAAUAUAAUUAAAUGUGAAAAUAGGUGGAAAAUCAUGAGUGGAGAAGGAGAUGGUAAUGGUAAUAGAUAGAUUGGCCUCUCCUCUACCUUUGGAUUCAACCAUUGUUGGCCUCACCCUCUCUAGAAUCUUCACAAAGAAUAGGAGCUUGGGAGUGCACUUUUUCAAGUGCUUUUGGGAGACAAUGUUUGUAUAUAUCAAAAUUAACUCAUUCUGUCAGCUUCAUAAGUGGUACCCAUGCUUAAGUUUCACUUUUCUAGUUCUAAAAUAUUAAUAUAGUGUUAAAUAGAUGUUGCUUAUGCUUAUAUGUGUUACUCCCACCGCACUCCAUCCACAUCCAUGUGGUCAUGUGUCUUUGAGGGUAUUUCAUCACUAUUGCUCAAUUAAGCUUACCUCCUACUAUCCAAAAUCUCUAUAAAUAGUGCUUUGUAGAGAUAUGUGCAUCCAUAGGUUAUUAAUCGAAAAAGUGUGUAGUGGAGAUAAUAAACGUAUAUUGCUGAAAUUUCUAAAUCUUGAAAAAAAAUAUUUUUUAUUUUUCAUAUUUAUUUAAUAUUACAUUUUCUUAAUAUUUGUGCUCUUGUCCUCCCUCUUUCUUACAACAUUUAUUUCCUUCUUCAUUUCUUUUCUUUUCUUUUGUUCGUUUUUGCUUCCUUCUUCACUUGUUUUUGUUUUCUCGAAAGCCACGGCGAAUAAUGAAAUAAAGGAAUAUUACAAAUAUUUAGGUUGUGUUUUUUAAUACAUUUCACGUGUUUAAUUUAAAAAAUAAAUCAUUAAAAAAAAAUGAGAGUGUUUGACAAUUACUCAAAAUAACUAAUGAAGUAUAUUUUAAAAACUUUUAUUAAAAAAAUAAAUAACUUAAAAACAUGUUUUUCUUAACCUAGUCCAAACUACGUUUAAUCUCAUAACGAGAAAACUUAGAGAAAAGAAAUGAAAUGAGUAGCUAAGGCAAGACGUUAACAUGUGUGCAUAAGAGUCCAUGCUAAUUUUACACUAACAUGACAAAUGUUUUUCUUUAAAAGAAAUAUUUGAUAGCCAAUUGAGAAUUUAAAUUUGAAAAUAACUUCAAAUAAACAUGUUAAAGUUAGUGUUUUAUUUUUUCAAGUAUGUGUUUGAUAGCAAUUUUAAAAAUUGUAUUUUAAUUUAAAUAAUUAUUUUUGUGUUUGUUACUGAAAAAGUUUGGCCAAAUAAAUGUUGUCACACCAUCACAAUAAAAGUUCAAGUCUAUUUCGAAAAUUAUAAAUGUAUUGAGUCGAGUAAUUACAAUGGUCCAAGCCUAAUCCAAUUUAAGCCUCAUGGUGAAAUUUUGGCCUAAAAAGAAGGUUGAGCUCAAGCUAAAUCCAAGCCUGCCUUAAUUCAUAGAAAUUUUCUAUAAAUAAAGGUCUUGCCCUUUCAUUUGGGAGGAAGAAUGAAGAUUAAAGCUAUGAAAUCUUGAGGACUGAUUAAGCUCUAAAGUUCUUAAGAUCAAAGAGUUCGUAAGAACAAAACUAAUAAACUUGAUAGAUUAAACUUGAUGGAAGACUGAAGUUUUAAAGCUGUUAAGAUCUAAAAGUUUAUAAGAACAACAAAGCUUCAACGACCUAAAGAAUAUAAAGUUUUGAGAAUCUAAAGAAUAUAAACAAUUGAAGAUCUAAAGAAUAUAAAGCUCUUAAAAGCUCAAGAAUAUAACUUUCAUAAAGUUGCAUCCAAAUAGAUCAACAAGUUAGAAGUUGAUCCAAACUAAUCAUCUAAUCUAAAGAUCGAUCAUCCAAGAAAUAUGUCUAAAGGUCAUUCAUCCAUGAGGAUCAUCAAGCCUAAAUGCCAAACAUCUAGGAAAUUGUACUCACUGUAUCAAAGUGAAUCAAUACAAAUACAAAGCUCAAAUUCCACGAAUUAAAUCUUUCUUCAAUUGAAAUUCUCUAUAAAUUUCAUGUGAACCAAUACUAUAUUUAACAUCGUAAAUUAAUUAUAGUUGCAAAAUGAACAUAACUCAAUUAACACAUAUAAAUAAAUUUUGUAUACCUAUUGUUUUAUAAUAUUAUUGAAUGUACAAUAAAUCACACUCGAUAGGAAAAAGUUACAUACUAAAUAGGGAUAUUUUUAAAAAUAGCAAAAUAAAUUAAAAUAUUUACAAGUUAAAGCAAAGUUUUUAGAUUCUAUCGUCCAUCACUGACUAUCAAUGACAUUGAUAGAAUAAUAUUAUUGACUAUCAAAUGUUUGUUAUUGAUAGAAUUUUAAAAUAUUUGAUAAAAUUUACUAAUUUUCUUAAUAAAUAAUUUAAUUUAUAAAAGAAAAACGAUUGUAAACGAGAAUAAAUGGAUGAAAAUAUUUAUAUAAAAAGUUUAAAUAAAUAUAUUAUGCUAUAUUUGAAAAAACAAAGUGAAUAUAUCCGUCUAAAUUGUUGACCAUUCUCUUUUUAUUUUAGUUGCACAAUUUUCUCGUUUAUUCUUUUAAGAUUUGGAUCCGUGUGAGCUCUGUCACACAUAACUCAAAACUCAAACCAGUUCAACCCCAAACACACCCCCGCGCCGCUCAUCUCUUGCCCAAACCACCAGAUCACCAGACCAGCCCCUCUUCUCGCUGCCAACCAACAUCCUUCGCGCCGCUCAUCUUCCCGACUCCGGUACCCACGUAUUCUUCUUAAGAUAUACAUUAACAUGAUCGAUAGAUAGCAACUACUUGAUUUUUCAUUUCCUUGUGCAAUAGGUCAAAUUCCCACUUUUUCCCUAAAUUCUUCCCAACUGUAACUAACAAUUCACUCUUGGAAUUUCCAAAACCUAACUUGUGAAAAUCUACCAAGUCACUGGCAUCACUCUUAAUCUUAUGAAAAUUUAAAUCAAUUCUUAAAAUUCUUGAUAUGGUUUUGAUUUUGAGUGCUUGUGAUAUCUCUGCCUGAACUUCCUUUCGCUGAUAAUUAUUCCAUACCUUGCCAUUGAAUCUUGUCUUUCCAUUGGGGCAGUUAAAUUUGGAGGUUGUAGAGAAAAAAAAGAAUUCAGCCUCGAGUAUAGUUAAAUUCGAAAGUUUGUGAAAUUAUGUGGCAACACCUUCUUCGGCCCUGUAAUUAUAGGACUAUUGAGACUGUUGCUGCUGCUCAUGUUGCCCGCAAAUCCCCAUUGCUUCGUAAUUUAAUCUCCUCCUCAUCCUCUCUUUACCAACCACACUUAAAUGUGCACAAUGAAUCAAAAUUUUUGAUAACCAAUGUAAAACAUGAGCAGUGUGAAGAUCAACCAGAUUUCUCAAUUGGGUCUCCAUGUAGGGUACAGAAACUCAUUGCAUCCCAAUCUGAUCCUCUUCUUGCCAAGGAAAUUUUCGACUAUGCUUGUCGUCAACCCCAUUUUCGACCAUCAUCUUCCUCUCUCCUCGUUCUUAUCCUCAAGCUAGGCCGUUCCAAAUACUUCUCUCUGAUUGAUGAUCUUCUUCUUAGCUUCAAGUCUAGACGUUACCCUGUCACUCCAACAGCCUUCUCCUACAUAAUCAAAAUCUAUGGUGAAGCUGAUUUACCAGAUAAAGCUCUUAAAGUCUUUUAUACUAUGAUCGACUUUGGGUGUACGCCUUCUUCCAAACAAUUGAACCGCAUACUGGAAAUUUUGGUUUCUCAUCGUAACUUCAUUCGACCAGCUUUUGAUCUUUUCAAGAAUGCCCGUCAUCAUGGAGUGUUGCCCAACACCAAAUCUUAUAACAUUCUUAUUCGUGCAUUCUGUUGGAAUGGAAAUAUUAGUAUUGCCUACACACUGUUCAACAAGAUGUUCGAACGAAAUGUCAUUCCAGAUGUCGAGACGUAUCGGACAUUAAUGCAGGGUCUUUGCAGGAAGAAUCAAGUGAAUGGUGCUGUUGACUUGCUUGAAGAUAUGUUGAACAAAGGAUACAUUCCAGACACAUUGAGCUAUGCCACUUUGUUAAAUAGUUUAUGUAGGAAGAAAAAGCUAAGGGAAGCUUAUAAACUUCUCUGUAGAAUGAAGGUUAAAGGUUGCAAUCCUGAUAUUGCUCAUUACAAUACAGUUAUAAUGGGAUUUUGCAGAGAAGGGCGUGCUCUUGAUGCUUGUAAGAUUCUGGAGGAUAUGCAGUCAAAUGGUUGUUUGCCUAAUUUAGUAUCCUACGAGAGUUUGACUAAUGGAUUAUGUGAUCAAGGAAUGUUUGAAUUGGCAAAGGGUUAUGUUGAGGAGAUGACAUUAAAGGGUUUUUACCCACAUUUCUCUGUCAUUCAUGCUUUGGUUAAGGGUUUCCAUAGCAUUGGCAGAAUCCACGAGUCGUGUAGUGUUCUUGAAGACAUGCUAAAGCGUGGGAAAGCCCCUCAUUCCGAUACUUGGGAGAUUAUUAUAUCUGGGAUUUGUGAAGUUGAGGACACUGCCAAAUUUUGUGAAGUUUGGGAGAAGAUUUUGAAGAAAGAUGUAAGAAGAGACACUAGAAUAGUUGAAGCAGGCACUGGUUUGGGUGAGUAUUUAAUUAGGAAGCUACAAGCUUCCAUAUCACGAAGGAUUUGAAUAUUUCUUAGUUAAACUAGUUGUAAGAGUAUUCAAAUUUUUAGUCUCUUGGUUUGAGAUAUACGCCAUAAUCAAUUCAUUUGUAGCUCAAGUUGCACAAACGGCUUGAAUUUUUAUUGUACAUGCUUGAUUGAGUUUUUGGAUAUCUUCCAUCCUAUUUACAGCACAAACAUGAACAUCAUUUUGUUUUUGAAAUUUAUGCUUUUUUCCCCUCCACAUUUGGAUUAGUCAAAAUCUAAAAACAAAAACAAACUUUGAGAAGCUACUUUCUUCAAAAUUUUGCUUGGGUUCUUAAAACAUUGAUAAAAGGUGGACUAAAUAAAGUUAAAAAAAUGAGAUGUGAAAAUAAGGUAGACUUCAAUCUAAUAAGAGAUACUCAAGAACAAUCAUAUAUUGAAAUAUAAGCUAUAAUAUCAAAAGUACCUAACUUUUCAAGAGGACUGCAUUUUUUCAAAUUUUCACCCAAAGGAAAUUCACUACAAAAUUUUUCAUACUAAUAUUUUUCUAAUAACCUAUUUUAUUUCUAGCUAGGUCCCAAAAACGCACCUCGUUCUCAAGGUGUGGGUAGAGUAAUCUCAUUACAAACCUUACUCCCAAAGAAAGAUCAACCACCAAAAAGUAAAACCAAACUGAAAAAAGUUCACUUAAAACUUGUCUACAAAUUCCUGCCAUUGCAUGCAAGCUUGCAGGAAAAGAAAAUUGGACUUCAAUUAUUUCAUGGGCUAACCAGAAAGAAUAACGUUUUCAAAGCCUUAGAAAAAUGACAACCCUACUUAUUCUUUGUAGGUAUGGCAAAACAAGUUAAAAAUAUAAUAAAACCAAAAAAUUACAAAACCCUAAAACUUGUAAAUAUGAGCUACAAUGUUUGAUUUGAUAUAUUUCGUACACUUUAAUUAAAACAUGUAAAUUACCAUCAUAAGCUUACAAUGUAAGGAGAAACGUGCAUUGAGAAUUUGAAAUUGGAGAAGCAACCUGCCCAUUUAUUUUUUUAGUAGUAGCCCUUUUUCUAGAUAGUUUAGGGUAAUUAAAAACAUAAUUUAUAGUUUAAACUAUGGGACGUUUGAACAUGAGACUACAUACAGAUACCAAUGAACUCAAUCGAUAUUUCUCAUCCUCAUGUAGUUUGGGAUUUCAUAAUUAAGUAAAAUUUUAAUUGUUUGUAGCCUCUUCUUUUAAGGUCUAUAAUAUAAUAAUUAGAAGGUAUCGUUAAGAACGUUAGUAAAUAGAGUUUCAAUGGUAACCUUGAAAAUUAAUAUCACAAUUGAAGUUACUUUUAUGACCUAUAAAUUUAUGAACAAAAUCAGAUUGAAAGUAUCGUCAAAAUCUUAAUCCUUUAAGGAGAGUUUAAAAAUACUAAAAAUGACUCACGUAGACAUCAUAUCGGUUGUUAUGAUUAAAAUAAGAGGAAGACACAAAUUGUAAAAGGAGAAAUCAAGUCUCAUUAAUAGGAAACUAUAAGUUCAAAAUUUAAAUUUAAUAACAAAAACUCCACUACUCAAAAUACUCGAAAUGAAAGACAGAUAACAAAAAUUCAGGGAUGAUAGGAACCAAAAAAACAACCAUGGAUAAAGGAGGGCAGUUAAAUCUAAGCCUUGAGGCGACCAAAGAACUUCUGUUUCUCCUGUGUUGUCUGGAAGCGUCCAUGGCCAAACUUGGAGGAUGUAUCGAUGAACUUAAGUUUGAUCUCCUCAAGAGCCACACGAGAAGUUUGUUUGAGAAGAGACUGACGAAGGGUGAUGACCCUCUUCUUGGGUCCAACACAACCUCCCUUAAUCAUCAAGUAGUCACUCUUCACGAUACCGUAGUGAGGGAAACCACCCAUGGGAGUAAUGUCCUUCUCAGUCCUGUUUCAAACAAAGGAAGCAAAAUAAGAGACAAAAUACGAGAGCUACUUUGAAAUCGCUAUUCAACCUAAUGUAGCAAGCUAACCUGUCGAAUUCAGUAAUAGCAGUGUGCGAUUCCUGCCCCGUCUUUCCAAUUUUGUAGACCUUUUUGUUCAUUUCAGUUCGGUGAUGGUAACCGUUCUGACCAGCCCUGGCAACAGUGAAUGACACUCUAGCAGGAUGCCAUGCACCAAU
rnacentral:lncRNA from 1 species